GAGAGAGGGAGAGAGAUGGUUAGCGGAAGGGGGAAAAUCGAAGAGGGGGACGUGUGGAUCUUCCACAGAGAAGAAAAGAAGAAGAGAAGAAGAAGAGAAGAAGAAGAAGAAGAGGAGGAGGUAGAGAAAGAGUUUUGGAGAUGUUUUAUUUUAAUAAAUAAAUUAUUUAAUGUUUUUAGAAUUAGGAAAAAAUCUGAUUUUAAUAAAUUUUUAUUUAAAAUAAAUUUUAUUUUAAUAAAUUAAAUAAAUAUUUUUUGUAUUUUAUGACAUCAAAUAACUGUUGCGGAAAGUAAAAUCCGAAAAAUUCCGUCUUUUUCCGCCAAAAACGCGGUUUUUUAGCUUUUGUGACAGUUUUUUCUUUUCUCCUUUCAAUUUGGGAUGUAUACAACUGUCAUAGUAGACCACUUUUCUACUAGUGCCACCACCCAAAAUUAGAAUAGAUCAUAAUUCUAGCCCAAAUUUCAGGUCAAUCAAUUUCAAAUUUAUAAAUUUUAAAAUCCAAAACAUAUCAUCAAGCAAAAUUAUUUUAUUAUUAUUAUUAUUAUACAUAUGAAAUAUCAAUAAAUAAAUCAUUCUUCGGGAAACAGUUAAAAAUAGAAAAGCAUUUACACUUGAAAAUGACAAAAUACUCUCCAUUCUCUAUUUGUCAUCUUUUAUUUAUAACAGCCUUAACAUUAAUAUCUAAUUUUAAUAAAUACCUAUUAUUCUCUAUGCUCUAUGAUUUCAUUGUAUUAUUUGUCUUGUCUUGGACAAGUUUGCACGGUGCUUUCUCUAUUAUUUUCUGAGUUCCCAAUCCUUCUUCUUGGGACGUGGCUCCGACCACAUAGAAGUGCUCUAGGAGCUAGUUGUGGAUUGAAUCAUGGGGUUUUUUUUUUCUCUUUGUAACCAUUAAAAUUUAGUAGAUUCAAACCUUCAAUCUCUAAAAUAUAAUAUUGAAAGAGCCUAAGCUUGCCAUUUUGAAAAAUGGACAUUUAGCAAAUCUAAAAAUAAACUUAAAAAUAAUAAACAAACCUUGGUUAGAAUUCUCGUCUAAGUGAAACGUUGAGGUAUAUUGUUUCCCCAUUUUAACAAAUACUUACUUAAUUAUUGAACCUUAAAAUUUGGACUUAGAAAAUGGAUGGUUAUAACUAAGCAUCUUUAGUUUACGGAUUUGACGAAAAAAGUGGAAUUGGGAUUGGAUACGAAAAUUAUAUAUAUGUAUAUAUUGAGUUAAUUAGUAGUCUUAUCUGUUAGAUUGCAUAUUAUGGCAAAUCAAGAGGUAGCAAACGUGGAAGUUGAGAUGAGAACUUCGGGAUUACGUAUUGUGGAAGUGAAGGAAGCAAAUAUAGAUUGUAUAUUCUGUCUUAUUUGUUAGAUUGCAUUUUAUAUAGACUGCAUGUUAGAUUGCAUUUUAUAUAGACUGCAUGUUAGAUUGCAUUUUAUAUAGACUGCAUAUUGCAUAUAUUAGGACAAUUCUGUCUAAUAGAGGCUGUUGGCACGUAAGAAAUUUUUACACCUAGAAUAAUUUAAAUGCAUGCAGAUUAGGUUUCGUGCUUGUGAUGCCAUUUUGGUAUUGGAUUGUUCACUUCUUUACAAGUUGGACGACUCUCCUACCACUCCCUUUAAUUUAUUCCCUUUAUCCUACCACUCCCUUUAUUCCCUUUAUCUCACUACAUGGAAUGCAACGUUUUUCUUCUCUACACUUCGUGACAUAAUGGUUAAUCUUUUCAUUUAUUUUUGUGUUAAAUUCUUUCUAGUUUUAUUUUAAUUUAGUUUUGCAAUAUGUGUGUUGGAGGGAGGAUGAUCAAAACUACAACACUAUACGCAUGUAUAUGCCCAUUUAAAUUUAUAUAUUUACUUGAUUUAAUUGUUUUUAAACUUACCAUACAAUACAGAAUUGAUACCAUAGCAAAUGGGACCUCACUUUCUUCUUAUUUCCAAGUAAAUAAAUAAAAAUAAUGAUCAAAUGUUAAAAUAAUACAAAUAUCGUCCCUCACUUUGUACAAUAGAUCCUAUUGUUGGGUCAGUUGCCAAAAUGUUGAUAAUUGGUUUCAUUUGAACAUAAGAAACCAAGAAAGGCAACAACAAAAAAAAUAUGUGUGUGGUUUCUUAAAUAAGACCAGACCCUUUUCUCUCUAUAAAAAAACUUACACCGAUCAUCAGUAUAACUCAUGUCUGUCUAGGCUAGCAACGCUCUAUCUAGGAAUCACACAACUACUCCAAGCACGGCUUCAUAUCAUUUAAAAUGACGAGCACAACGACGAAAAUGUGGUGUUCUGCAACUGAGGACAUGGUGUAGGAAAGACUGAAGUGCUAAAACCCGAGACAAAAGCACAAUGCCAUUUUGCGGAGGGAGUGAGACCGAGAAUGGUCACAUUUUUCAUACAUACACCGUCAUAUGAUGUGCCUGCAAUCCCGUAAAGAACCGGAGCCUUUGUCGAAUUUAAGCUCAUGAGAUUGGUAAUGAAAAUGCCCUUCACUUUAGGAACUGCCUUUGGAUCAAAUUGUUCAUCAGGAUGGUCAUUUGAGCCCCUGCUAAACCUUAUAGCCAUUUUCACUCUGUUCAUUACAAAGUUAGUUAUACUAACAUUUGCAAUGUAUCCUCCUCUACCUUGGUCGGAUUUGAUUCGAAUGCCUGCUGCCGAAUCCCAGACGUUUAAAUCCUCAAUUGUAAUGUUUGAUAUUCCACCUGACAUCUCACUUCCUAUUCCAACACCAGAACAGGUAGGGGUGGUGCCAGAAACUCGCCUUAUGACGAUAUUUGAGCUUGGGCGUGCAAGGUUGAUUCCAUAUUGAUCCCAACCACUCUUCACUGCUACUAGAUCAUCUCCGCUUUCGAUAUAACAGUCCUCGAUACAAACAUUGGUACUAGAAUCUACACCAUAAUAAAGAUGCAUUUGGAAUUUAGAUAACUCCAGCAUUGUUUUACAUUUAUUUCUCAUACCUCCUAGCUCCAAGAAAGAAGCAAAAUACCUGGAUCGAUACCAUCUGUGUUCGGGGCAUUGAGCGGAGCCAAGAUCGUCAUGUCUUUGAUAACAACAUUGCUGAAAUCAAACAAAAGUUCAAGAACCAGUAUAUAAUUGCAAAGAGUAGAUAAUUAUUGAAAAUGAAACCUGCAAUAGACAGGAUGAAUUGUCCAAAAGGGGGAAUUUUUGAAGGUGAGAUUGGAAAUGAGAAUAUUGUGAGAGUUGAUGAGCUCUACAAGAUGGCCCCUUGUGUGAUUUAAUGUUCUAUUCCACCAAAGCUCCCACCACAUCUUGCCUUGCCCAUCAAUGGUUCCAUUCUCUCCUGAAAAAACAACAUAAAAACUCAAUAGAUUUUCAUGAUUAAGAACAUUCUCGAACCCGAGUGCCGUCAAAGCUAAAUGAGAAGAAGAGUUCACACUAGUUCCAGUUUCGAUGCACAAAGCUAAUGUAGAUCAAAAGAUAUGAUCCCAUUUGAUACUUUUUUUAAGGUAGGUAGAACUUCUUAUUCCUAGUUUUUAUCACUGGACUCUACUCAUAUUCUUUUUAGUUCAACAAUAUGUAACGGUGAGUUUCAAACAUAUGACAUUUUGGUCAAAUUUAUAUAUGUUUUAACUAAAUGAGCUAUACUGAUCACAUUGGUGACCUAGUGGUAUUUGGCUAGGGUAAAAAACAAGAAAAUCAAAGAAAGAAAAUGGGUAAGUCAAGUUAGUCUUAGAAGGUAGAUCUUAAGCUUAAAAUUGAAAUACCUAACUUUUCUCAUCUCAAGUGACCCCUUAACAUAAAAUACUAUAAUGAUCUUCUCCACAACCAAAAUGUACUAAAAGGUCAAGUGCCCUUACAAAAAAAACUCCUUAUUGCCAAUUUCACUUUUAAAAACAGUUGAAAUGGUAUACCAAGAUUCAGUUCUUUAUCAUUCCCACCCCAAACAUAAAAACACACCAUAGAAAAUAAAGCAUGAUAUCUUGAGAGAGAGAAAUAAUAUUCUUAGAUCCUAAAUCCCUUUUUUUAAUUUUUAACAUUAUCAUGGUUCCCUAGCUAAUUGCUUAGUCAUGAUCAAAGUUUGAUUCCAUUACUUUACAAAACCCAAGAUAAGAAUCCUCAUGAAUAUAAAAUCCUAGCAAUGAAGAUGAAGCCAAAAACAAAAACAAAAAAAAAACAAAAAAAGAUAAAGAAAAGUGAAAGCACCUGUAAUUACAACAUUUGAAAGGGCAUUGCCAUGAAUAAGGCUGAUGUGUCUUCCUCCCAAUCUCUCUCUUCCUCUUCCAUAAGAAGGAAGUGGCUCUAUAAUGGGCCACUCAUCUGGAUCCUUUUUUUUUUUUUUUAAUUUCAAACAAAUAUUUAAUCAAGUGCACACUAAACUUUUGACAAUAACAUGCCACCAUGAUUUCUAAAAGCAAAGAUUUAUCAAUUCAUAAUUAACAAAUUUGAUUUGAUAAUUUAUUUUACUGAUCAAACCAAAGCUUAUUCAGUUUCAAAUAAUACCCAACAAAAAAAAAAAAGUCAACCAGUUAUCAUAAAAGCUCUGUUUCAUUUACACACCUUGGGGGAAGGAAUCACACUUUAAUUUUAUUUUAUUUUUUCUAAGGAAUUUUGUUAAUGGGAAAUCCCAAACACUAAUAUAAAUUAGCUUCAAAAGCACUAAUGAAUGCAUUAAAUGAUAAUUCAUAGUGCCAAUAAAUCAUUAGCAUAUACAACCUUUUUUUCUCAUAAUUUCACUGCUUUAUUAUUAUUUAUUAUCAUUACUUUUUUGGUUACAUACAACUUUACUUGUUUUAUUGCUUUUUUUUUUCUUUAAAAAAUAAUAUUAUUAUCAAUUCACAUUUUCACUAUAAAUAAGUUCAGAUAUUACAUUUUUCUUGCAUGCAAAAAUAUUUAUUAUCUUAUUAUUAUUUAAUCAAUUUGGAUGGAAAUAUUGGAUAUAUAUAUAUAUAAAUAUGGUGGAUCCCACUUGCUAUGUUUUUAGGUUUAAAAAUGCAAUAAGAACUUAGGUGACACCGCCAGAGUCAUCACUCUGAUUUUACCUUUUCUGCUAAGUUAUGAAAUCCCAUUUGUCAUUUUCUUCUUCACCAAAAUCACAAAGAAUUUGUCCUUUCCAAACUCAUUAAAACAAUAAAAAUAAAAUUCCCCAACAGUUUAAAAGAAACACCACACAAAGUCUUAAACACAUAAAUAUUUAAAACAAAAAAACAAAUUACAAAAGACAAGCUUAAAAUUACCAUUUAAUUUUCUAAUAACUAUUUAGUUUAACCGUAAGUAAUUUUAGGGGUUUAGGGUAAAAAAGAAAAAAACUGACCUGGGAGGCUAAAAUAAGAGCGCCACGUUGGAGAAAGAGGGUAAAAUUACUGGUGAGAUUAAAGCUGCCCGUGACCCAACUGCCCUUAGGGACGGUCAGUUUAGACCCGCCUUUGUCGCCGAACCGCCGCAUGUACUGAAUGGCCUUCCGAAACGCUUCCGUGUUGGAAGUCUUUCCGUCCCCUACUCCUCCGAAAUCCGUGAUCGACAUGACAACCCCCGCCGUAGCAUCUGGGCGGAAGAAGGCGGAGCAGGUGGGGAGUUGGAAAUCAGAGGGUGGGAGCCAGAAGGGGAAAGGGGGAGUUCUGGUGGCGAUUUGGAAGGUGAGGAUAGCGAGGAAGAUGAAGAGAAGGAGAAGGGAAGAACAGGAGGGAUUGAUCGGAGGGCCGAAAUAGAAUUUUGAUUUAUCACUGUCCAUUAAUGGAAAACCAAAUUACAAUAGAGAGAAGAAGAAGAAGAAGAAGAAAGAAGGGGUAGAGGUCUAGAAGGCAGGCUAGAACUGGAAGGGUGGACAAUGGACAUUGCGCUUCCGCAUGCUAAAUCUUUUCCCUUUUUUUUUUCUUUUUUGCUUUCUCUUCUACUUCUUUCUUUUUAAUAGUUUUUUUUUAAAUAUAAAAUUUUCAAAUUUAGUUAAUUACAAUUUGAUUUGAUUAUAAUAUUUAUGGAAGGUAUUUUCACAUUUUUAAAAAUAGAUUAGAUGAUGCUUUAAAUAGUUUGAAGUUUCAGCCCUACUAAUUUCCUAGUUUUGUUUUCAAAUUCCAUAAUUACCCUUACUUCAAUGCACUUAUUUUGUUUUUGCAAGAAGCAUGACACCUUUUGUUUAUUUUUUUUAUUCUAUACAAAAUUUCUAACAACAUUUAUAUAUAACCAAAUAUUACAAUAUAUUUAAUAUAUUAAACUACUAUUUAUCUUUAUUAUAAUAUAAAUAAACACAUAAUUUAUUUUAGGCUAUCAUGGUUGUGUACUAAGAACCAACGUUCAUUGGGUUUAAGUUCCUCACGUUCCAAUUUGUAUUAAAAAAAUUAAUGAAAAUUUUUUAUUACAUCAUUUUUUUAAAAUAUAUUUUUCUUAAUAUUUUUGAAAACUAUUUCAUUUAUUAUUUGAAAGUAAGCUAAAUUUGAAAUGUAUGCAUAUUAAAUAUGAGUGGAAUUUUAGACAGGGAGAGAGAGGACAUCAUUUAAAAAGUACUAAUUAAUUUCUUUGAUAGCCUUGUUAUUAUUAUUUUCUAAAACAGUUUGAUAGCGUUAUUAUUAUUUUUAUAGUCGGAAUUCUGGUUGUAGUAAAAGAACAAAAUUGUCAUUAAAAUUAAAAAAAAAAAGAGGGAGGGGGGCAAGAUGGUAAUUAUGUAAAAAGAAGCCGUGGGCUUUUGUUUGCUUAUUUGAAAAAGUGGGAUUAUGAGACGUGGCAAGUUUAGAGUGGUGUUAAUAUGGAGUGAUAGCGUGAUAGAUGUUGUAGAAGAAACCUAAUGGUGUAAAAAUGGAAGCCGCUAUUCACGGGCAUCUUUCAACCUUUCUCAUCAUUUCUUUUUCAUUCUAUUUUCUUUAUUUUAUUAUGUUUUCUCUUAAAUUAAUAAAAAAAAUAAAAUUUAUUUAUUUUAAUUUGAGAAUGUAUGAUGAUAAAUAAUUUUAAUUGGAAAAGGAACGAAACCUUUUGAAUUUAUUAAAAACGCAAACAAAUACUAAAUAAGAGAAUAUCAUAGUUAUAUAUAUAAAAAAAAAAAAUGCAACAUCUCCAUUAUUAUGAAACAUUUUAAAUGAAGCUAAAAGUAAAAUUAUGCAACAUUAAUGUAAAUUAUCUCAACUUCAAAUGACAUUUGAACCAAUGUUUGAUUUUAGAAUUAAUAUUAUAUAUAUUUUUAAAUAGAAAAUUUAAUUUGAUUUAUAGUUCCAAGAGAUGCCUUCCUAAAAUGAUUGUUUAUUUACUUGUACCAAUUGAAGCCCUAGUUUUAAUUUAAAUUUACUAUCAAACAAAUAAUUAGGAUCAGAACACAUUUCAAGUAAAAAUAAAAAUGUACUUUUCCAUUAUUUUUCUUUCAAAUGUACAAAAGUCUACUUUUUUGGUGCCAUAUGUCUAUAACUAGUAAAGGUAAAUAAAAUAUAAAAAAAAAAGGAAAAAAAUAUUAAAAUUUGUUUGAAAAUUUUGUGUAAUUUCAUUUAUGAAUAUGUUUACAUACAAAAUUAGUUAUUUGCAAAAGAAAUUGAUUUCGUCUUCUAAAAUGUUAAAAGUUUUUUUUUUCAAUAACAAAAGAUAGUCCAUUAAUAAUUAACAUAGGACUAAAAGAAUGAACUAUGGUAAUAUUUUGAUAUUUUUUAUUCUCAUGUAUAAAAAUUUGAAAAGUGAGGAUAUAAAGAGUUAUGAAAAAUGGUAUUUUGAUAUAGUUUCUACCUAAUACCUUCUCUCAUUCUUUUAAAUUUGAAUCCAUCUAAUUGUACGUUGUUUUAAGCUUUUCAGUUGAAGUUACUAUUUUUUAUCAAACCUAGAUUAACCCUUUGAUUAUAUAUUUUCUAAUAGAAUUAGAUGAAUUAGAGAGAAAAAUGAAAAACAAAAAACCACAGCCAAUGUUUUAUUAGUUAUGUUUUGCAAUAUUCAUCAUGAACUUAUAUAACCUUGCAAUUUAGUACAAUUUAAUUGAAGCUUUUCUGUGGUUGUCUUACCAAUCAAUCCAUUGGCUGAGUUGACACCCGAGUUAAGGGCGACAUCGGUAGAUGACUCGGAAUUUUCAUUCCCAAUUCCCUUUUCAAAUUCUAUAACCUUCGUCACCACGAACAAUUUGCAAUAGAUACGAAACCAAGAUCAGGGUCUUCUUAAUUUUCCUUCUAUCUUUCUUUUUCCCCUUCAUUGGACGCGCCAUCAAUUCUACAUUGGAUUGCAGCAUUUGGGUAUUAAAUUUUGAUCUGUUUUUACGGGAUGUCAUGUUCGAUUUCAUUGUGAUUCAUUCAAUUCCAUUUCUGUCGCAUGUUUUCGUAUCUCUUUGGUAAUGGUGCAUGCUGUUUUGCAUUUGUUGAAUCAGCUGACAUUUGGGUUUUCUUUUUCUUUGAUUAGGUACGUGAAUCGGGUAGCGAUCUUGUUUUUAAAAAUUGUUGAUUGGGUUGGAGCCAUUGGAGGACGGAUUUGAUGGAUUCGACGUCAAACCAAACCGAGUUUGAUUACUUGUUCAAGUUGUUGAUGAUUGGGGACUCUGGGGUUGGAAAAAGUAGUCUGCUUUUAAGUUUCACUUCCGAUAACUUUGAAGAUCUCUCACCGACGAUCGGUUAGUUUUGCUAUACGGAUCAGAUUUGAAGUAUUAGUUUGGAAUUUCCUUUUUUGCUUUUGUGGGAUCUUGCGCAUUCUUUUUGAAAAUGAGCUUAGACAAAUCGGUUUUGUUGUUUGCUGCGGAAUAUUGGUUCAUCAUUUUAAAGAAACAUGUGGAAAGACAAUGAUAUACUUUUGCUGAAUAUUGGUUCAUCAUUUUCACUUUCACCUUCACCUUCUGCAUGGGAUUGAGAUGAGAUUGAGGGCAAAAAAUUAAAUGAAAGGGAAAGUUGAGAGGACCAAGAUUGAGAGAGGCAAUUAAUCUUAACCGUAUUUCAUCAAGAGAAGAAUGAAGCUCUUAGAUAAUCAGGUCAGGUGUCAUUUUUUUAGGACAGUGUAAGGAACUUAGCUAUAAUCGUAUCUGAGAAACUAAAAUGAGAAGUCAUGAAAGAGGUAAUUUGUGCAUUAAUUUCUAAUGGAAAAUACUAUAUUUCAAUGUAAAUAUGUAUUGUAUACUUUCAGGUAUACAAUGAAAAGUUCAUUUUCUUUGUAAUAUUAUAUAUAUAUACACACACUGUAUACUUUCUACCCGCUCUAUUAUCACUGGUCAUCUAUACUUUUGCAUUCUGUUCAGUACUUACUGACCCUGUGUAAAUCUAGGCAUAUGCUCAUCGUCCUACUGUGGGGCUAUUAGUAGAAUAGAUUUCCUUUUACCUGUGUAAGUUUGGUUGAAUUUCAAACCGCAUAGCUGAAAUUUUGGAUGUUCUCUUUCUUAUUAAAACAUUAUUAACAAAAUUGAGAAUUUAAAAUGAUUUUGAUUAUAAAUCCUACGUCUGCAUGUUUAAUUGUGCUGGUUUGCUUGUUUAAAAUGGAAAACGGCACAAGCCUUGCUAACUUCUUAAUUUGCCUUGCAAUGGCAUGUAACCAUCAAUAGACUAGAAAUGACUUUUAAUUAAUUGGUUGUUUUUGUGCGCAGGUGUGGAUUUUAAGGUAAAGUAUGUUACUGCUGGUGGUAAAAAGCUGAAGCUUGCAAUUUGGGAUACUGGUAAUUAAGCUUCUCCACACACAUAAAUAGGCUUCUUCUUCCUCCAUUUUUAUUUUUGAGAGGGCGUCUAUUCUAUUUUCCACACAUGCAAGAUGUAUGCUUUGGCAGAGAAGCACCAAACGGCUAAGUUAGAUAAUUAAUUUACAAAAAGAUAUUGCUUAGCUAAUUAUAUAAGCAGCUGGACGGUAUACUAAAUUAUAAAUACAUUGAGGCUUGGCCAUUUGCGUAGCUUGUCCUUUGUUCACCAGCUCAAAGUUGACUUUUCCUUCAUGGUCCGGCAAUCUAUGCAGUAAUCCUCGAUUCGGCACAGUUUUCUCCUGUUUUGAAUGUAGAAGCUAGAAAAUUUUGUUACCAAAUCUUUGAGGCAUUAAAUAAAUGGAUGAGAAGACAAUAAAUUUAACCAAUUGACAAAUAGAUCUGGAAGGUGAAAACGGAUGCUAACUGUUGACCAUAAGUGUGCCUGGAUGAUGGUUCUGCUGUGCAGAAAAAUGCAACAUGAAUGAACUUUUCACGUUCAUGUAUAGAACUUUGUUGAACCUGCAGCCGGCUAGAGCUUUUUCAUCAAGAUUAGAAACUUGUUCAUAUUUGUGUUUGAAUUAAAUUUGGAUCUUGACCUAACAGACUAAGAAAUUGCUCAAAGGAUUGUACAUGCUUAUUCUAAUUCUUAACUGUUAUCCAGUGGUCCUAGUGCUGUGAAUUAUAAAGAUAAUAUAGUUGUUCUUGUUGAUUAGCCAUGAUGUAUUUGAUGGUACUAGGGUAUUACUUCCUAUAUUUUCUUGUAAUGAAUCUGUAUGAAAGAAAUCUGGUUUACCACAUCUCCAAACUAUGCAUCUUGUAGAAUCUAACUCAAUGUUCAAUCGUACAGCUGGGCAGGAGAGAUUCAGAACACUGACUAGUUCAUACUACAGAGGUGCUCAAGGGAUCAUUAUGGGUGCGUUCUACUCCCUUCUUUAUUUGAUUGUUUUAAAGAGAAGAAAUUCUUUGCUUGGCAUAAAUGUUAAAUUUCUCAGCUGUGUUUAGUUUAAACGCAUUCAUGAUUUUAUCAAAUGAUAAGUUGUUCAUUUGUUUGGCCGUCCAAUAUUAUUCUAUUGCCUUUUGUAUUAUGUUAUCUUGAUUAUGACAUCAAAUAUUAACUGUCAGUUUAUGAUGUAACGAGGAGAGACACGUUUACAAACCUUUCUGAGGUAUGGGCAAAGGAAAUAGAUCUAUAUUCAACCAAUCAAGAUUGCAUCAAGAUGCUUGUUGGAAACAAAGUUGAUAAGGUAAGCGUCUUCAACUUCCAUUUGAAAUUUUCCAUUCACCUGAAUUUGGUUACUCUAACAUUUGUAUAGAUGUCGAUUAAUUGUUCAAGUGUAUGGUGAACUGAAAUUCAUAUUCCAAAGAGUUUUCAGGUUAAUUACCAAUAACAUAUUGAUAAUUUAAGAACCGAUUAAAUGAGUUAUGAAUAUCAAAGCUUUUUCCGUAUGAGUUUGUUAGGUAUUCAAGCUGUUAUUUACUACUAUUAUUAGAAAGCUUAGAAGAUGGCCUAAUGGUAAAAACGGAGACAUAGUCUGAAUAACUAACUAAGAGGUCAUGGGUUCAAUACAUGGUGGAAUUAAUUUCCUACAUGUUAUCUUGACACCCAGAUGUUGUAGGGUCAGGCGGGUUGUUCCGUGAGAAUAGUCGAGGUGCUCGUAAGCUUUCCCGGACACUCACGGUUAUAAGAAAAAGAAUUAGAAAGCUUAGAAGAGUGUUGAAACACUGUACAAAUGAAAUCUAACUUCUAGGUCUGGCUCAUCUCCACGCACAAAGCCUAUCCUAAAUUAUGACUCAAGAAACCAAACUUCCAAUAGGAAGAACAUAAAAACAAAAAGGCAUGUGCGAAAUACACUAAAUGUGAAGUUCAGGUUUUUGAGAUUCUUUUAAAUUUCUUAUGAUAAUGUUUUUCAUUGUCUGCAUCUAACUUACUUUUUAUCUGGAAUUUUAUUCUUCAGGAAAGUUAUAGGACAGUAACCAAGAAAGAGGGAAUUGACAUGGCUAGGGAAUAUGGUUGUCUUUUUACAGAAUGCAGUGCCAAAACUCGGGUUAAUGUACAGCAGUGCUUUGAAGAACUUGUUUUAAAGGUAGCAAUUUCAGUUUAGUAUUACUGUUGGUUCAUUUAUUGGUCAAGGGAUUGAUAUUGAUUGGUGAGUAGCAGGAACAUGGUGUUUCCCUGUUGUAAUUGUAACAGUCACAUUUCUGAUAUUUUUUAAAAGAUAAAAGCAAUCACAUUCCUGGUAUAUUCAUAAAUAGGUUAAGGCAGUGAAAAAUUUUGAACCCUCUUGAAUAGUCAUAUUUUAACGGCUAAAAUUUUCCUCUUCCUUUUUCCCAUUUUAAGAUUUAGAAAUAUCCUGCAAACUCACUGAAUGUUGCUUGGACGAUUAAAACAUGAUGAUAACGAUUCUUAUAUACAGAUUCUUGAUACGCCCAGCCUUUUGUCUGAAGGCUCUAAAGGAGUGAGAAGGAACAUCUUCAAGGAAAAACCUCCACAGUCUGAUGCAUCCACGAGCAGUUGUUGCUGAAAUUGAUUCAUUGUCUCUAACUACAUUUGCUGGUUGUUUCUACAUUGUUGUAAAACUACAGUAGAGGAGCAUGGUGUUAUAGCUUUUAUUUGUCUCACUCUCACAAAUUACCUUACAAAUUGAAAAGGGUGGUUUUGUCUUCUUGCUGGCUUUCUUGUACAGGGAAAAAUUGAAAUGGAAAUAUAUGAUACAUGAUUUCAGUCUUUCUUGCUUUAAUUUAGUUGCUGUCCUCUGGACUUUUGUUUUGUUUCUAUACACUGAGUCAUAGAUUCAGUACGAUUAAAAGAUGAUUCUUGUUAAUGUAAGAGCUGGGGGGAGGGGGGUUGGGAAGAAGUGUCCCACCUGCAAGUGUUUAAUUGAAGGGCAUAUUUGGAUGACUUUUAAGGGGUUAUAAAAGGGUUCAAGGAAAAUCCAAAUAGGUCCUCAUCCGACUCAAGUGGGGUUGAUUUGAAGUCGAGUUGGGCUUUGUGACGGAAAGGAAGAACAACCCCGUUUGGUUGUAUAUGCAUAAAUUUAGCGAUCUAAUAAAUAGGAUCUUCUUUUACCGGUUACUCGUUUCUUUCACCGGUUCAUGGAAGGUAACCGCUAGAUUUGUUUUUUAGAUGGAGAAAUAAAAACCACUUGUUAGGGGCUUCUUUUUAUUGAACUUAUAAAGUUGGAGAAUGGUGUGACUAAAGGUAUCAGCUCGGUAUGUGUUUGUUACAGUCGAGACGUUAAUAAACUUAAAUUCUUGAAACGUUGAAGAGGUUCUUUUGAUUUCCUUUUAUGGAAGGUAUAUCAAGAAUGUAAAUAUUCUGAUUGAUUUGUGGAAACCUUUGAGUUCAUUAUGUAUGGUAAACAAAGUGAAUGUUGAUGGUAGUAGUAAAUGAGAUCAAAGUUUAUGAUAUGCUUUUCAAGAGAAGAAUGAUGGUAGUAGUGACCAAGAAAGAUCAAAGUUUAUUUCUCUCGUUGAUGCCGUAUAAAAAACAUUGUAAAAGUAGUAUGCUCCAAAAUUGGAAAAUAUAAGAGUUCUAUAAAAUGUUCUUGGCCAAGAAAAUGUGAAUAAAAAAUUCAAUUAAAUCGAAACAGUCCUUAAAUCUAUCAAAAUGUGAAAAAUUCUCAAUCUCUCACAAGUAUUGAAAACUCAAGGUUUUAAUUGAUGUUGGUUAGGUUCCUAAUAGUAAAUACUCUAGGACUCCGAUGUACAUCUUUAUGAUUAUGUUGUGUUUAAGGAAGAGAUUGAAAGACACAUACAAAAUGUAUCACCAACAAGGAUCAUCUAAUCCAAUAUGAGCCCUUACUUCAACCUAGUGUUGUUAGUCAAGAAAAAAAGACAUGAUUUGACGUUUUUGUGUUAUUAUAGAGCUUUGAAGGAAGCCAUUGUUCCACGUAGAUUUUCAAUCCUUGUCAUUGAGAAUUGCUAGAUGUUACAUAAGUCUUUCAUGUAUUAUAUGUUAGACCACAAAUUUGACUAUUUACAUCCAUAGAGGUUACUAUAAAUUUCUUGUGAUGCGUUUGAGUUAAAAAAGAACACUUCAACCACUUUUUAAUCUACGAUGAAUCAAAGUAUUUAUACAUGUUAUGUUUUUGAUAAAACGUCUUAUAGUUUUGUUUGAAGAUAUAUUGAUGUAUAGCCUCAACUUGAGACCCACGUAAUAUCCUCGGCCACAAUUUUCUAUUAGCAAACAUGAAAGAAAUGCAAGUGUGAGGAAAGUUGUGUGUGGAUCUAACUAUUCAUAAAUGGUUUGUGAAAGCAUUGGACGUGGAAACCAUUAAAAAAAGGUCAAAGAAGAUGAAUAUCUGUGUAAGAUUUGAGUGGAGUGGCACGAUGAUUCUCAAUCCCAACUUUUUUUUACUUUUUUUUAUUUGUCUUUGACACUUUUCUCCCUAAUUCUUCCCAAUUUUGGAGCAAUCUAGCUUAAUCUAGCUUAAUCUUUUGAAGAUAUUUGAAUCAAGAAUGAUGUUGCGAAUUUCAAAAAAUGAUAAAAUUUAGAUAGUUGUAAACUCUAAGCUAUGAGUAUAUAAUGUGAGAAGUUGACAAGACAUAAAAUUGAUAUAUUUUAGUCACGGACUCAAUAACUCUUUAGACCAAACAAGGAGUGUAGCUCACAAGUCGAAUCUUUCUAAUUCUCUCCUCUUCAUACCUUAACUUUUUGGCCUAAACACCUCGGUAAGUGCUUGCAUAUGUAUCGCUUUAUUUCUAUGUCACAUAUUAGACUCUUUCGACCACUACCCAUUAGUCCAUAACUAAUUUGAAAUGAUAUCUUUUAAGGAUUUCAUUGACAUGGGCUCCAUAGACACAUCACACAAAUGGAAAGGCUAAUUCUAUGUCUAAGACAAGGUGGCUCUCACCACCCGGGUAUUGUUAAGCUCUACUAGAAAAUAAGAUGUGAUUUGAAUUUAAAUCAAAGUUGAAAGAGAUUGUUACCUUCCCAAAUUGGUAGAAAUUUUGGUUGUAUUUUGUUUGAAGGUGAUCAAAAUAUCAAAAAAGAACCUUAGAUGUUCAUUCCUCAAGUGCUCAUAAAUUACAUUGAUUCAUCUUACAUAUUACACUUAGAAACAGGUCAUAAUAGCAUUUAAAUCUAAAUAAACAUAGGGAAGUAAGAAGAAUAAAAGUUCGAAAAUGAGAAAAAAAGAAAUACACAAUUUGAUUCCAAAAUUAUAUCUAAAGUAUAAGCAAUUUAGUAUGGAAAAUAUGAAAAUAAGGCUGAAGUUUUGCCACCAAAACAAACCAACAGCCAUGGGUUCUACAACUGCAAGACUGCUGAUUCCUCAUCUUCUUCUUCCCUCUUCUUCUUCUUCUUCUCACAAUCCAUCAACAAACACUCGCACCAAAUCUUCAAAACCCCUUUCAUUUCCCAACCAUAAUUCAUUACCAACCAGGCGUUUGUUGCUUUUCUCCCUCCCCAUAGCCACUGCCUUUCUUCUCCCAAUUCCGGGCAAUCCAAUUCAACCCAGUUCUUCCUUUGCUGUGGAGAGCUUUGACCCUGUCAGCCGUUCCGAGAAAGAUGCCAGUGCCGCCAUUUCACGAAGAGUAUCUGAAGCUGUGGAGCUUCUCGAUAAAGGCAGGGAGUUGCAAGCUCUUGGUGAUUUCAAUCAAGCUCUUCUCUACUUCACUCAGGUUUGUACUAAUUUUGCAUCUUCGAAUUCGUAGAUUUAACGUCGAGUCCCCAAUAAUUUAAACAAUGAUAAGUUAUAGAAUUGUUGAGGAUUGAUGCUUAGCUGAAUUUUUCCAUUCUUUAGAGUCAACUAAGUUUUAGAUGUAAAGUUCUUGUGAUGGACAUCGUGUUAUCAGAUAGCAAUGGCUUUUUUCCAAAAACAAAUUAACAGGAAAAUUUUCAGAAAAAUUAAUAUGCUCUGGAGUGUUGUUAGUUUAUGUUAUUGUAUCUAUAAAUCUAAAAUGUAUGUUGGACAAAGCAUAUCAACAAAAAGAAACCUUUUAGGAAAUCCUGCAUGCAGGAUCUGGUGCAUAAAAGUAAGGCAUAUUAUCCACAAAUGAUUUACUUAUCUGACUUUAUGGAUAAUUCCCCAAUAUAUUUUGGCGACCCAUUGGGAUGUUAUUAGUCUUUUCCACCCACAUUUGGUGUGAUUAUGCGAUUUACCUAGUUGGAAUUUUCAAGUCUUAAGCAUACUGAUGGGUUUUCAGCUGAAUGGAUUAAACCAUUUCUUACAAAAUGUCAAAAUCGUGAAGAUUUGUGGAAAGGGUACUUGUCUUUUUUGUUUUCAGAUAAGUUGUAUGUAAGGAACUUUCUUGUAAGACAUAAGAUCCACGUAUUUUUUAAGGCAGUUCUAUGAAUGGAAUUUUGGAGGCCCAUUUGGGUGUGGUUUGUUAGAUCCAUAUGUUCUAAUCACGAGUGACUUAACUUAACAACACAGUUCUGUCACUAUCCAGAUAGAAGAAUGAGAAAACUAUUAUGUUUUUCGUUUUUAAUCGUGUUUGAGACUAGGAUCCGCGGUGGAUCAUUAUAUUACUGAUCUUCAGAAAUAUUCACUACUUCAAUUUGGAUUUGCUGUAGGCUUCAAAACAUGCAACAUGAAAUUACUUUCUGAUUUCUAAACACCUGUCUCGCAUAGACAAAAAUUCUAUAGCCUCUAAAUACUGAGUGUUCCUGAGGUUCAGGUAGGGGGCGACAAAACUUUGAUUAUAAACUUUUUUUAUUAUUUAUUUUGCUGAAGAAAACUCAAAACGAAAAGUGUUUAGCAUGUGACGAGAAGACUUCAGAUUCCUUUCCCUUUGAAGCUCAUAUUCAAUCUGCACUCCUCAUUUAAUUGAGAGAAAUUAUUUAACUAUUGAUUUAUUUGUCAAGUCAACGUAUUUUGAGUGUUAGUUCUUAUUAAAAAUUUGAUUUUAGUUCUUUUCUAAUUUCAGGUAAUUGAUAAAUAUAAAGAUUUUGCUUUCUCGGAUUAUGCCCGAGUAGGCAGAGCAUUGGCCCUGUACGAGAUUGGUGACCGAGAAGAAGCCAUUGCAGAGAUGGAGGAUGUUUCCAUAUCAUUGAAGGGAUAUCCAGGUACUUGAAUAAAUUUUGCACAAAUUUUGGGUUCUAGACGUACAGAUUGAAGAGGGUAUCACGUAGAUGCAGUGCAACAACAGUUUUAGCUAGAGAAAGAGACUUUAACAUACAGUAUACAAGUACUUGAGAAUAUAUAUAUAUAUAUUUAAAUGAUUCUUCAAACAAUUUUCCUGAGGUAAAAGUUUAGUUAAAUUAUAUGUUUAGUUCAUAAAUUUUGAGGUUUGUGUUCAUUUUAGUUCUUUAGCUUUCAAUAGUCGGUUAAAUUUUAAAAUAAUUUAUUCAAGUAAAGGUCAAAAUUGCAACUUGAAAGUGAGAGUUUAAGAUGAAAAUGGAUGCAUAUUGUUUAGAGUUAAAAGUAGAUGGAUGAUUAAGGCUAUGAUGGCAUAAUUGAAUCGUGCCAAGGAGCUUGGAUGCAACGCAAAUAACUAUAGAUAUGGGUCAUGGAUGUGUUACCAACAUAAUUAAUGCCAUUUAAAAAAGAGUCAAUAGUAUGCACAGGAUAAUUUUAUACAUUCAUGGGUUUGAGGUAUGCAAAAGUUUAUUUAUUUUUAUGUUAUAUAUCUAUUUAGGAUGCUCAACCAGUGUUUGAUACAUAUCUAACAAAUGUGGACUAGUAUUUAUUUGUACAAUUAGUGUCAAAUGCAUUUAUUGUAGUUACAAGAGUUCUAUGCUUGUAUUCUUUCUCUAUCAUUUUCUGGUGUGGUUGGAUUUUGUAAAACAUCAUUGAAUGUGGAUUGAAAUUUUGACUGCUCUCUCGAAGCUAUGUAUAGCAAGCCACCUAGAAUCUAAAAGAUCAUAAUGUUUAACAGUAGUACUCGACAGUUGGUGUCUUUUCUCUUACAUUAUGUGGCCAUAAUGAAUCAUGUGUAGUACAUAGUACUUACUGGCAUUUAUGUACCGGUAUAUUGUUUUGCAGAAGUGCAUGCGGCAUUGGCUGCAGCUUUAUACGUGGAUAAGCAUGCUGCAUUGCUGGCUGAAAAUCAAUUCACCAUUGCAACCUUGCUUGAUCCUCACUAUGUGGAUAUCUCGUAUGUGAAAGAAACAAAGCACUGGCCUCCUAGUUUGAUCAGUUCUUUGCAACAUUUCUUAACACUUUCUUAGACAUUUGUAAUAAAAUAUAUACAGUUUCUGUCAUAAAAAACUCAAUUCCUUGUUUUGUAAGUGCACAAAAUUUAAUACACUUUAAACAUCCAUGUAAUUAUUAGUAGAAAUAUAGUUUAUGUUUACUCUCUUAUCCCCUUUGACUUGUAACAUAAAUUCAUUUCUUCAUUUAAACUUACCUGAUGCUCAUCCUCAUUCAUGUUCUGAGUCUAUUCAAUGCACCUUCUUUAUUGACGGAGGAUACAAUGAUGGUUUUGCUAGUUUUAUACCAUUGGAUAUAAGUAAGUGAAAUUACAAAACAUUUUUUGUAUUGGAAUCUUGAAUCUAUAAUUGAGUCAACUUCAUUCAUAUUUGUGUUAUUGAACUAAUCCUAGAAAUUGGACAGAAACUUUGAACACUUGAGCUGGAUAAUGGAUGUAUCAGAAUUGUCCUUAAUUAACCAAGGUUGAUUGACCUCUACAAGACAAUGGAAGUCACCAUUUAGGAAGGCUUUUCUUUCACGCUGAAAAGUCUUUGCUGUGACUCUGCACUCAUUUUUGUACUUUUAGUGCUUUCAUAUUAACUUUUUAAAUGGUGAGACCACAAUACUUUGUCCUAGAGUAACUAUAGGUCUUUAGUGGGUCCUCAUAUUAAUAAAAAAAAAAAAAAAUUGCUCUUUUAAUGCCAUUCUGGUGUUCAUAAAAUGCUUUCACACAUGGAAAUUUUCCCACUUCUUCAAGAAAGAUCACAGAAAAUAUUUUGCCACAAGUAACUUCUGGUUUGUAUAACCACAUCUUUCAAAUCAGCCUUCUCUUUCUGAUUUUUCAAUUAUUUAUAGUUUUGAUGGUUUUUUUGGGCAAGGUAAAGUCCCAUCAGAAGUACCUGCCAGUAAUUGCAACUAUUUUAGAAAGAUGCUGGGGAUUCAGAAUUCUGAUGUGCUCUCAUUCAUUCAAGCUAAAUGCCAUUGCUGACAGGCAAGCAGUGAAGUGCUUCCAGCAAAUUGAGUGGGCCAUCAAGCAUGUGCUUUGCCCCUGCCUUUCUAAAUCAUAUGCAAAUCUCUGCAGUUACUCAUACUAUUAUUAAGUUGUAAAGUAUUGAACACUUGUCAUGAUUAUUAAUCAGUUGUAUCAUGACAUUUACAGGCUUUCAAUUCUGAUGCUCAUAUUGGACAUGGGAGGCUUAUUUACACAUCAUCAAUGGCUCUGAUUGAGCCUCAGGUUCACUUAAUCCAAUCUGCUUUAUUGAUUUUCUUUUAUCAAAUCAAAUCAUACCAAAAUUUGGAUUGUGAACAUUUGAUUAAUGAGAAAGCUAGGUAUAUUAUAAUUAAAGUUUUUCCAAUCUGAAUAUAAUGAUACUGAAAUGCAUUUGCAUGUGAUUAAAAAUCUCCAAUGAGUGAAUUUUUUCUAUACUUGAUUGUGUACACUACUAGAUAUUUCUUCCAUAGCCAAUCAAUUUUGCUGGCUACAAUGUAAAGAUUCACAUUUGAAAGGGAAAAAAAAAGGUCCCAAAAGGGUUGAGGGAUAGAAUAUUAUUAUCACACAUUACAUAUUCCUUUUGUCCUCAACCCACUUGGAUCUAAGAAGCUUGAGUAGGAUUCUUGCCUUUGUUUUGGUUUUUGCACAACACUGACUUUGCAGAAGCAGAAGUAAUUGACUCAAAACUCCACCUCUAAUGGCCUUUUCUCUUGCCUCUACUGAAUCAUAACAUAAAAUUAUAAGUGAACUAACAGCACUUUCACUGCCUCCGUGAUCUGAUACUCUAAAAACCAUCUUCACAAUAACAUUUACACCAUCUGGAAUAUUUACCACUUCCUCUUUUGCACUUCUAAAUACCAAAAGUUUCUCAAUUGCUGCCAUUGCUUCUCGUGCAGAGCUUCUUUCUCUUUGUUGAGCAUUAGAAAUGUAUGAAAUAAGUCCAGUAACUGCACCUUCCACAACCAAAUUGUUGAUGUUUUGUUCCAAGUUACUUAGUGAACAUAUGGCUUUGGUUGCUGCAUCAGAUGCCUCUGAGUUGUGGUGUAGAAGUUGCACGAUUUCUCGUAAAAGCUCGGUUGUGUUUCCGAGUAAAACACUAAGAUCUUUAGUCUCAACUGAAGAUGAAAUUGCCUGAACCAAAUGACACAAACUGAUCUUGAUCAUGGAAGUGCCAUUACUGAACAAAACCAUGAACCGUGAUAGUUUUGACUCAUCCAUUAGCACAUUUAGGGACUGUAUCUGUUCAAGAGAAACCAUAGCAACCAUAAAACUAAGCGCUUGCUCUACAAAUUCCUGAUAUUCUUGUGAUAGUUUGGUUUCUUCUUGCCCAAAAAUCAACUCCAAAAGCACUGACAAGAACCCAAUUCGGAUCAAACAAGAAUUACGAGAAGGAAACUCUUCACAUAAAAUUCUAACUCUUUGAAGAACUUGUAGCUUGUAUUCAUAAGAAAACUCAUCAGAUUCAAGUUUGAUUCUCAAAGCAGCCAUAGAAUCAAUAGUAGAAACACAUUGAGGGUUUAUUUGGUCACUCAUCUGAAGCCACUGACAAAUCAAAUGACGAAGAGUAUUAUUAGGAACAAAAGAAGGAUCAUGAAGCUUCUGCAUUGUAACAGGACAUGUAAGAUUCCCUGAUGCCAACCAUUUCUCAAUGCUUGAUCUUUCAUAAGUUUGUCCUGUGCAAAGAGUGACAGGAUCCUUAAACAAAUCAAGACUUAUUGGACAUCUAAACAAGUGAGGGAUGGUCUCAUGAUCAUCAGCUUCUUUCAUGGAGAAGAAAAAGAAUAAAACUAAUUACAAAAACCAGAGAAAGAAGAGAGUGAGUACCCCCUAUUAGAAAUUUGGUAAAAAGAGAGAUGGAAAUGAAAUCUUUGAGAGAGGUGGAAUGAUAAAAAAGGAAGAUACGGUGGGAAAGUUUUCAAAAGAAAGAGAAAAAAGGGAGACCGAUUGAGUUCUUAAAGGCUUUUCUUUUCAAGUCACAAAAGAAGAACACAACAGUGUGAUAUUUGAGGAAAGGAAAAUGGAGACCCCAAAAGCUAAAAGGCAUAAAGAGAGAUGAAAAACAGGUAUAGAAAUUGGAAUCAGAUGGUAUAAAGGUGGAUUUAGAAAGCAAAAAAAGCUGAAGGAAAGAAAAGUAGGCAAAAUAUUAAGACUUAAACAGUGAGUUUCUAUGGGGGAAAAGUGUACUGAUUUUGGUCUGAGCUAAUGCUGUUUCACACUGGCAGAUAUAACGAAAAAAAAAGAUAAAAGAGUAUAGAUCAGAAGAGAGGGACAAAGUAGAGGUUAAUCCUAGUGAGAGAGAUGAACAAAGUAAAAUGAUAUGGAAGAAGUAUGAGAAAAAUUGGUCCCCAUUACUCUAAUAUAGAAUUCAGUCAAAGUGACCCACCAUCAAAUAAUAAUAAUUAUUAUUGUCUUUGAAGUUUGAAUCAACCCUCAUAAUAAGAAAAAAAAAUGGGGAAAAAAGGAGAAAAAUAAUGGGUCUAAUUCCCUGUGAUAGAGAGAGAGAGAGAGAGAGAGAGUUUUGACUAAGAAUUUUUCUUAUUCCUUGAGAUAUAGAUAGAGAGAGAGAGUUUGACUGUGAAAUGUUAAUGGUAAUCACAAUUAGAUUUUGAUGAGAAUUCUGAUCUCAAUUAUGAUUAUAAACACUCAUACCAAUCAUAUAAUGCAAAUCUAAACUGGAUAAUUCUCUAAUAUGUGUACUAAUAAAGGUGGCCUUUUUUUCCCCUAUGUUCAUACCUUUAAGAUCUUUCAAAAUUCAAACAAAAUUUGAAUUCUAAAUUUUAUAUAUUUUAAAAUUUUGGUUUUAUUUUUAGAAAUUGGAUAUGAGUUAAAAAGAAAAAAAAUAAACCCAAAAUUUAAAAAUAAAUAAUCGAAUAAUUAUCAAACGUAACCUACGAGAUCAUGUAAAUAUGUACUUAAUUACUUUAUUUGAAGUUGCAAUUACUUGCUUGAUCUAGGCCAUAAAUAUGACAUAGGAUGGUCUAACAAUAGCGAAUCUAUUUGAACAAUAAUCAUAUCAAUUAUUAAAAGUUGAAGCAGUUUACACAACAAAAUGGUAUAUUCUUUCCUAUAUAGACAUGAUUUAACGACUAUAGAUAUAAAACAGUGAAGAAAAGUCAGAAUAGAUGACUUUUACUCUUUAAAUUUUUAUUUUUUCUUUAUAAAACGUAGACCAACUCAAAUAUUUAACUAAAGGAAUAGUCAUUUAUUUGAAGGUUCUAAUUUUUUAAGAUAUAUUAAAAUGAAACUACAAAUUUCACCUACAUCCCAAACACAUGUAAUGAGCUAAUAUACAUAAAACAGAAAGAGAAAAAUCAAUUGACUCUCCCACUUUGAAUCGCAAUUAUUUAUUUUUGAUUCAUUUCUAUUUUCAUUUAGAAGUUGAAAAUUAUUUACAUAAAAUUAUUCUUAAAAAAUAUCACAAAAUCUCUCUAAACAAGUAAAUAAAAGUAGAGAAGGAUUAGCAAGUGAAAAGUUACUCAAAUUUGAUGAAAAUCACUCCUAUAUCUAUUUAGAUCCACGACUUUAAAACAAAAUUUUAAAUAAGAGUCUAAAUAAGUUAACUUAAUUAAAUUGAUAGAUAUAUAACAAUGGGUAAUUAGUAUAAAGUUAAAAAAGUUUUAAUUAAACUAAUACAAAGUCAAAAUUUAAAAGUAUAGAUUAAAUUUUGUAGUCCCUCUAGAAGUGAUGUUAAAUGCGCAACAUCAUUCAAGUAAUUAAUCCACUUAGAAUCCAUAGUUUUUGUUGAGUAGAGAAGUCUUCAACAAUGGAAUUCCAUCACAAACUAAGAACCUUUUUUGUAACAAAAAGAGGCCAAAUUUAAUUUGUUCACGUAAAGUGUUACAAAAAAAAGUCACUCAAUUUUAUAUUAUAAAUAAAAAGAAAGAAUGGAAACUACCAAAUUAUGGAUUAUACCUGAUUAUGGAUUCAAAUAAAACUUUGUCUCAUAUAUAUAUAAAACUUAUAGCUUAGCUUAUAAGUUUACUUUAGAAAGACUUCCACAUUUUGCUUCCAAACCGUCUUUAAAGUUGAGGGACCUAAUAUUCAUUAUACAAAAUUAAAAGUCAUGAUAUGUAAAUAAUUAAUAAGGUCGUAGUUGUACAAUCUAUAAAACAUAUGUCAUAUUUGAAUAAUUAAACGGUCAAAGAUCGAGGAUGAUAAUGAUGACGAACUAAGUUGAUUCAAUGAACAUGAUACUUUUAUAUGUAUAUUCAUGUUAAUAUGAUGAAAAUUGUUGACAUGAACAAUAUUUGAAAUGUAAGAUAUUUAUGAUUUAGACUAGUUAACAAUGAAAUGAUGAAAAAGAGAAGGAUUAUAAGUUUUGAAACGUUACAAAAACGUUGGUUGAGUUAGGUCAUAUUUUGAAUAGUGUUGAAAGGAUGAUGUUUAAGAUUGAAUGCAUGCACACCCACCAUAUUUAUUUGAAGUGUGCCGGCCAAAGGCAUCAUCACAAAAACACAAAUUAAUUCUAUCAACACUUUGACUUUUUGACUCUCAUUAUAUACACCAAACUUCCCCACCUCAUGACUUCCUAAUGUUUAGUCUAUUUUUUCCAAUAGUGUGUUAUGGGGAUGAUCCAUUGCCCAUUAUGAACGAAGGGGUGAUUCCAAAUUCUCUCCAUAGUCCCACUUUUAUCAUACGACUUUCAAACGUGGAUCAAACUUUAGGUAUUUGUGUAAUGAUGUCAACCAUAUAUCGUGUCAUUUCAUUGAGGUUUUAAGUCUUAUUUGUAGUCGUUUGUCAAAAUUCUAGAAGCUUUUUUGUGACGGUAUUGUGUGAUUAUAUUAUAACAUCUAGAGGUAUAAUAAUUUGUGUUUGAAGUCAAGCAUAUAGAUACAUACACAAACAACUUCUCUAACUUCAUAAUAUUGGACAAAAGUAUAUAUCUAAAAGUGGUAUUUGCAAAGUAUAUAGAGAACAACCCACUAAUGAUACAAAAAGUAUUUUCAAAUUAGACGAUAAGAGUUCAAGAUGAAGGAAUCAUCAAAGUACGUUUAUCGAGAUCAAAAAACUUACGAUAUACUAAAAUAAUUUCUUAUAUAUAUAUAACAUGAGUGGAAAAUGUAUAAAUCGUUAGAAAAAUUUCUCAUUUUAUUCUCUAAUAUUAUGCAUAGUUUUUUGUUUUAAGCUUUGUGAAGACCCAUAAAAUGUAUUACAUAUACUUAAACACAUGGUUGGAUUGACAAAAAAAAAAAGAUGUUUUAAAUAAAUCAUUUUCAUCCAAACACUUUGUAUAACAACUUAGUUAUACUUAAUUACAUUCUUGAAGACAAAUUUGUUAAGUCUGACAUAAUCAAAGUGGAUGGUUGAUAUCUAUAGUUUCAAAAAGAAAAAUAAAUAGCAAAGAGAAAGUACUUGUGAAUUAAAUCAAAGCAAUGAGAAUGGUUAAUUAAGUAAACCAAUAUCCACAAAAGGUAAAAGACCAAGUUCAUUUCCCUUUCAAUGUUUACAAUAUUUUACACCCAAUUCUUUUAAUUUGAUAAAAAGGAAUUCAAAUGUCAAAAAGGAUAGUCAAGAAUAUUUUAGCUUUAAUGUUCCCUCAAGAUUAGGUAAGUUUGGCCAAAAGAUAUUGGAAGAGAGAGAGAGAGAGAGAGAUAUCCAAAGCCACAAAAAGACAAAUAAAUGAGCAAAAUACACAAACUAUUCAAAAUAAUAUUUUUUUAUUUUCUUCUUCUCUUUAAAAAUGAAGAAAAUGAACUUUGAACUUAAUCUUGUCGGCUUCUUCAAUACUUUAAUUUGAAAUUACAAUAUUAUUUCUUUUUAAAACAACUAUUAAUUAAUAAUCUUUUGUUAGAGACUUUUAUCUAAAGAAAAUAAAAUCUUUUAUUGGACUUUGUUACAUUCCUUACUUUGUACCCAACAAUUGUUUGAAGAUAAUAAACUAAUAGAAAUGUAAACAAAAAUUCUUACAUUGAUCCAAGAAAAAAGUGAUCGUGGAUAUAUAUAAGCAAUUAUUUGUAUUGAUAAGACUUCUACAUAUGGUCAUGAUUUGUGAAGUUGAAUGUAGGUAAGAAAAGGAAUGUAUAUAUAUAUUUCACAAGUUUUUUCCCUAGGUAGCCACUUUAGGUCAUUUUUAAAUGGGUACUAUUGGUAUAAAUUUUUAAGAUAUCGAUCCUUUAUUUUUUUAGUUUUAGUAUACAUUCAAGUUUUAAUUCCUUGAUCAAAGUGAGCUUAGUUUAACGGUAAUUGAUAUGACUUUCUAUUUUAGAGAUGUGAGACGUUCGAAUCUCUCAACCUUCAAUUGUUGUACUAAAAAAAGUUUCAAUUACUUGUAUAUAUUUCACCUCAAGCUUUAAUAAUUAUUUUUAUUCAUUUAGUAGUAAUUAAAACUUUAAAGGGAGAGAUUAUAAAAAGAAAAUUGAUAGGGAUUGAUUUAUUUUGAUGCAUUGUGAUAAAUUGAAUUAAUAUUUUUAUCGACGAAUUGUAAGUAACGCCCUCGAACAAAAUUUGUAGAUCCAACAACUGGCUCGAUUAUAGUCCCAUUUUGAAGUUAGGUUUCACGCAAUAACAUUUGCAUAUAUUCUAAUAUACUCCUCGUUGAAACUCAUGGAGAGAUAAUCAUUUUUACCUCAUGAUAUGCUCAUAUUUUCUUUGUCAACUCAUCAACGUGGAAUCCAUAUCUCUAUGCAUAUUGUAUAAUUAACUUACCAAUUAUACAUUUCAUUCUUCACACACACGCACACUAAAAAGAAAUCCAAUGUAAUUUUAUUUCCAUGCUACUAUUCUAGGCAACUUUUAAGUAGUUAGUCAAUACUUAAUUAGCGGUAAUUUGAUAUGAUCUUCCUUCUAUCUAUUGUACUAAAACGCAAACUUUUAGAUGGUUAAAAGUUGUUAAGUGUUUAUUGUGAAUUUUUUGGUCAAAUUUUGGUUGAAACAACACUUCAUAUAUUUUAUAUAUGUGUGUGAUCUAACUGUUGGGUUGGCCAUGCCCAUGCUCUAGAUGAACAUUAUUUAUAAUGAGCCCUCAGUCCAUGUAAUAUUCCUCCAAUUAAAUAUUAUAAACAUGAUGAGAAAAGGGAAAAUAAUAAUAAUCCAAGACAAAAUUAAAUGAGGUUUAAUAAUUAACUAAGAUUAUAUAUUGGAAAUUCAAAUAUCAUCUAAACUCAAAUACAUCUCAUCCAAAUAAGAAAGUUCACUUUCAUCAUCAUCAUCAUCUUCCUCAUAACAAAACAUACUUCUUCCAAUAAUAUUAUUGUUUUCUUUUGCUUCAAAUACUCUACAUACAACCCAUAUUCCAAACUCCUGUUCAAAUCACAACACAUACAAUCACCUUAAUAAAUCAACCCAACAAUAAUGUUUAAAUUAAAUAACCUAACAAUUCGAACAAUCUAGACUAUCCAAUCUAAAUUGUAUAGACUAGGUUAGGGUAACCCAAAAUUUAGAAAAUGUAACCAACAACUCACUCUAAUCUAACUCGAAUUUUAAAGAUUUGGUUCGAUUGGGUUGAAGAUACAAUCAUUUUGGGUUGCCAAUUUGGUCCAAAAACUUUCCAUAAUCCAACUCAAUCAACCCAUUUACCUUCACCUAAUUAAUCUCUAUACACAAUUAUAAAAUAUACCAUCAUUCAACCACUACUACAUAGUUUUAUGUUUUUCUCUAUUUAAUUUAAUUAUGCUCUUAGGAAAAUACAUACACUAGUUAAGUUUUUUUUCUUGAUAUGGAUUGUAUAGUUAUAUAAUCUUGUAUCUAUUCAGUAUUUGAACUUUUGGAUUACAAUUUAUGUGAACCUCCAACUUUAUCAAAUAGGUUAUUGAUUUUCUUUCAACUAUUUUUAUAAUUUACAUACCUUAGUGAUCGUAAAACAUUAAUAAAGCUUGAAGUCUAGAUUUGUUAUUAUUUUUAAAAAAUUUAAUAUGUCGUGAACUUAUUAAAUACAAAAUCUAAAGUUUAAAGACACAUUUAAUAUUUAGGAACCCUUUUACCAAACUUUAAAAGUUUAAGAGAUAAAUUUGUAAAUGAAUCUGCAUCCAAAUUAUCUAAAUACUUUUUUGGUUUUUUAAGCUUUUAAAUAUGAUUUUCAUUUUGGUCCUUAAAAUUUCUACUUCCGUUCCUAAGCUAUAAAUUUAGUUUUUAUUUGGUGAUAAUACUUAUCUAAAUUAAAAUUUAAAAAGUUACAUUUUGCCAUUGUGUUUGAGUUUUUAUUUCCAUUUAGUCUAUAAGCUUUAUAGUUUUAUACUUUUACUUAAGAUAGUAAAAAGACCAUAGUACCAAAACUAGUAAUUUCACAUAUAUUUUUUUAUUUAAUAAAAAAUUAAGUACUAAGUGCCAACUAGAAUGAACAUAUACUUCAUUUAGCAAAAAGUUUGUACUACAAAUUUCAAGAUUAGAACUUUAUUGAUUAUUCACUCCACGUAUUAUUUUUCUAGAAAAACACCCGCCAUACCAAUUACUUUGUCUGAUUUUGAGGGGAAAACAUGGUGAUCGAAUCUAUAACGAAAUGAAAAAGUGUAAAAUGAAAGAAAACGAAAAACGAGAAACAAGGAAAAAUAGUGAAAAUGUAAGAUUCUUGAGUUGUUUCACUUACUGAUUUUGUUUGUGAUAGAUUAUUGUUGUUGUUUUGAGAUGGAUGAGUAUGAUCAUGAGUGUUCAAAAGGUAGUUGUAAAUGUGAUACUCUUGCAUGACCCAACUUGUUUGAAUGGGUGUUGGUGAUUCAUCAUCUUCUUCUUGAUCACCAACAAAGAAAAUAUGAUAUUUUUUGAUACCCACUUCAUCCCCAUUGGCACCGCAAAAGAUUGGUUCAUCCAUUAAAACAUCUUUCCAAUAUCCACUCUCUGUUGCUCUACUUUCUCCCACUCUGCUGAAAAAGUAAUGAAUGUCCCCAUUUGACAGUGUUUUACCUGUGAAACACAAUAAAAUUUUAACUUUAAAAUAUGUGUUUUGGUUGUUUCAAUUUGGUUCAUAUAGAUACAAAAUUUAUAAAUAUAGAACUUUUACUUUUCACUUAGUAUUAUUGCUCUCGAAUUUGAAACUUAAAUGAAAACUAAAACAAAAACUCAAGAAACAAAAACAUUUUAAGUUCUAAUGAAGUCUACAAGUUUUAGAGAAGAUAAAACAAACUAGAAUCAAUAUUUACUUUAAAGGAAAACGUAAAAUAACACACACAUAUAUAUAUAAAUUUUAAAAGCAAGAUCUUAUGCUCUUCCAAUGCUCCUCAUCAAUCUAACUUAAAAGCUAGCUUGACUUCUUGUACCUACUGCAUGCAUAUAUAGCUAGCUAUAUUGUUCUUCGCAUAAUAAGAGAAAAGAUAGAGGGGGGGAGAGAGAGAGAGAGAGAGAGAUUAUGUAUAUAUUAUAUUAUACCAUGGAAUUGCCAAGGGUUAUAGAGAUGAAGCUGAAGAUGAGGAAUAAUAAUGGAAUUGGAAAAACGAUGAUGAGAGUUAGCUUUGUGAUAGAGAAAGUGAAGCACAAGGUCUUCAUCAGUUGGGCAGAAUCUAAGACCAGGAGGCAACAGAUUUAAGCUAUUAUUUCCACUUAUCCCACCUUCAUCCAUAUUAACAAACUCAAUCAUAAUAAUAUAAAUAACAAAUACACAAUAAUAGUAUUCUUUUCUUUUUUCUUUUUGAGGAGGUAACUAGGUUAAGGCCUAGUAGGUUUUAAUGGAGAAACUUUGCACCACAUUUGGCCUAUUUAUAUAUAGAAAUUAAAUGCAUAUAUGAAAUUAAAUUAAAUAUAUAUUUAAGAAGAGGAUAAUAUUAGUGCAUAUAUGUGUUUUGUUUCAUUGAUUUAAUAAAGGCAUUUUUUCCCAACACCAUGCUUCCUUGACCCACACUUUUGGAAUGAAAACAAAAUCAAAAGUAACUUUUUCUUUUGCUUUGUUUUUAUUGUAAAAGAGACACAAAAAGAAAAAUAAAGAAAACAGUAACUACUACUUUAUAUGGUCUACUAACACCAACUUGUGAUCAUAAACUUUAGGUUUAGCUUACAUUUAUAUUUUAUUUAUUAGGUAUAUGGUGCUAUAAGAUAAUGUUUAAGUUAAUGAUGGAAAAUUAUUUUCAACCAAAAGAUGAAAUUUUCAGUACUUUUUUGGGGGAGAAGUGACAAAGCAAUAGCAAUUAAAUGUUGUAAUUUUGUUUUAUUUAUAGAAGCAAUGAAUUAAUGGUAUUUAGUGAGAGUGAAAUGGUGUGGAUUGCAAAUGGAUGAAAUGAUAAAUGGGUAAUCAAUCAAAUCUGAACAUAGUGGGUGUCGUUGUUUGAUGAACUACUGCCUAAAUCAUUUUGUUUAAUCUAAUGCAUAAUUACGUUUAAAUUAUUCCCUCUCUUUGAUUAUUGACUUCACCAAUAUUUCUACCAAACAAAAAUAGAAGAUGAGAUGUAUUAAUCCACUAAAUGUUCCUUUGGAUUUUAAAGUCUCUAUCUAGUACAAUAAUAAUGACAAUUAUAUAUGUAGAGAGAAGAGUCACACCCUAACAAUUUAAUCGUGAAAGAAAUUAUUAACAUUUUGGGAUAGAUUUGAAUAAUGUUAAAUAUAAUCAUCAAUAUUGAUCCAAAAACUUAAGUUAAUAAGUGCACGUUCUAACGUUCAACAUUAUUAAUAUGAAUUCCUUAGGGUUGCUUGCUCAUGAACAUUUUGUAGUAAAGGAUCUUUCCAAAGAAAAAAAGAUUUGAGAGGUGUGAGAAUUGAUUAUAUAUUAAAGAUGAAAGACAAUUAUCAUAUAUUAAAAAUACUUAGAAUAUUGAUUGAUUUACAUAGUAAAGACAAGAUUAUCAAGGUAUUAAAACACUAAUAUAUACCUUCAAAAUUCCCAAUAAAUCAUACCAAUAUACACAAACAAACAGGAUGAAACGUUAGUUGACUCACCAAUUGAUCAAAAACUACUUUAAGUUUUUUUUAAAAAAAUAAGUAACAACAAAAAUAAAUAUAAAAAUUAGUAUAUUAUUAGAUUAAAAUACUUUGUGAAAGGGAUCUAAUAAUAAGUGGUGACAAAUAUAUUAUUUUAUGGAGUGAUGUAGAAUCAAAUCUAAUGAAGCCCUUAAAAUUAAUAAACACUCACGAGAUCGAUCAUUCAUUGUUUAUAAAAAAUACAUCAUCAUUGUUUAUAUGAAAGCAACUUCUUUCUAUUAUUUUUUAUUCUCCCAUCUCAUCAUUUUGUUGGAUGGGAUCUUAACACAUAUAUACAACAGAUUCUGCCAAUUAGAAUAUCUAUAUAGUUCUUUGAAAACAAAACAUAUAAUUCUAAUCCAAUAUAGUUGACAGACAAGUUUUACCACUCCAACACAAUUUUUUAUAUUAGAAACUUUGGUAACACUCUACUCCCUGUUAUGAUCACUUUCCUACAUAGGAGAAUAAACAUGUAUUUAUGCGUGCCAUUUAGUUGCAUUCAAAUUUUCUCGUGAUAGUUGUUCUUUAUUUUAGAAAUUCAAUUGUCCUAUACAUUGAAAUAGUUUAUAGAAAUGAUGGGUUUCAAUAUGCCUUUGGUUUCAAAUCAUCCUAAUUAGAAACACUUUUAUAAGUUUGAAUGUGCUAAUUAAUUCUUGUUAAAUUCUCUUUUGUAAUUUUAGUUUUGAGAGGUGAGAUUAAAAGGUGUGAGUAAUACUAAAGUUUUGAGAGAGUGUUCUUGUAAUUGAGAUUGGAAAAAGAACUAUUUAUAUUAUGUGUGAUAUAUUAUAACAAUUUUCACACGGUAAACUUCUUUUUAGUUAGUAGGUCAUGGUUUUUUUCUAGGUUAAGAGAUUUUCGUGUAAGCCUUGUGUUUUCUAUUAUUUUCUUUUAAUUUCUAUAUCAUCUUUCUACUUAUUUUGUCAAAGAGAUGAUAGAUUUUUUUUUUCUUCUAACAAUUGGUAUUUCAUAGCCUUAAAUUCAUAGUUUCUUGAAUGUUUGAGUAUACGUUUUAUAGUUACCGCACUAUUUAUAUACUUUCAUGUCACUAUUUAUAUACUUUCAUGUUAGAAAAUCGUAAACACUAAACAUUAAACGUAUUAUGAAUAUUGUGAAUUGGUUCACGCUACUUAUAAAUUAUUUAGAAGUGCAGCAAAUAUACGUUAAUUAGGUUUAUAAGGUGAAUAUGAAAUUUGUCAGUAUAGAAAUGAACUCAACUAAGGAGAACAACUUCAACUUGUACUGAUCAUAAUUGUAUUAUGAAUUAUACAUGAGAAUAAAGAGUGGUAAGUGCAUUGGCCUAAUAUUAUUAUGCAUGCUUUGGUUUAUCAAAAGCCAUAUCAUUACGUUACAACUCAUUAGGCUAUUCAAAAUGAUUCCCAUUUAUUGUUUUAGUUGAGAGGUCAUAUCUAAAAGCAUUUUGAAGGAAUAAUCUCAACCACAAAAGCGAAGCCACUUUUGUGCUUAUCCCAAUACAAAAGGAAAGAAAAACACUUUGCAAUUGCAAUUGAGUUGCAACCCAACUCUUUUCCCAAUAUUAUCUUAUUUAUUUAUUAUUAUUAAUUAGUUAAGUUUGAAUGCAACUUGUUUGUAGUUGCAAACAAAUACUAUAUUAUUUGGCAUUUGUUAUAUAUUUGUUUUGAUAAUCAUUUAAACUAUUAGAACACAGUUCUAUACAACUAAUAAGUGAUGAUCACCAUUAGACAUUUAGGAGAGAUUUGUAGUGCGAAAGUUUAAGAACCUAUAGUUUAAAAAUGGUAAUGUAUAGGAAAUCUACAAUUCUGGAGAUAACUAGACAUAGUAAAAAAUUUAAGAAUCUCUAGUUCCUUUACAAUUAUCAUGAUUAUAUGUAUAUCUAAUCAUCCAAAUUAGUUCUAGAGUAGUACUUAGCUUCAAUGUAUAACUAGUAUUAGUCCACGUGAUAUAGCAUUAGAUCAAUAGUUUAGUGCUUUUUCAAAGAAAUUAAAAAUGGUUGAUAAGAGACGAAUAAAUUGAUAGAUAAUCAUAACUAUUAAUUUUAUUUCUUGCUCCUUUUUUCUAACCACCACUCACUUUAAAAAUUGACAUAUGUUUCUUUUUCGAUAUAGACAAGGCAUUAUUAGUUCAAUCUAUAUAUUUAAGUUAGCAUGGUUUAUUCUUAACUCAAUCAUAUAAACAUGGAAAUAAUCUUUCACCCUAUACUUACCUAGAAAUUUAAUUCAUAUUAGUACCUAUAAUAUAGGUAUUUCAAAAUCAAUAAAGGGAAGAAUAAUGAAUUGAAAAUCCCAUCAUUAGUUCAUCUUGUUUUCAAUCCUUACAUAAAAUUGACACAAUAUCCUAGCAUGCAUUUAAUCUUUCUUAUUGAUUUUAAAAGUCUAAUUUAUUUUAUAACAUUUAUAAAAACUUUUAGACUUAAUCAAUCAUUUUAUCAAUAUAUAACCUUAUAAAAACAUUCAAUUAAUAUGGAUUUUAAUUUAUUUAACUUUAAUUAAAUCAUAUUUAAUUUUAAUUUAAUUAAAUCAUAUUUAAUUAAAUUAAAUCAAACAAUAACUAAUUAAUUUGAUUAAAUCAUAUUUAAUCAAGAAUAACUUAAUUAAUUAAUCAUAUUAAUUAAUUUCCAUAUUAAUCAAUUAACAUGCAUACAAUACAAUAUAACAUUUAUAUUAUACAUUUUAAUGCAUGAACAUGUUAACCUAUGGUGGGAUUUUAAAUCUAUAUGACAUUCAAAAUGCACAUACAAAUUUAAAGUAAUUUAAUCAUACAUCACAUGCAUAAAUAAAAAAACACCCUAAAAUGGACUGAUUUUUGGCUCCUAAAUUAAGUUAAGUACUAAAUUAUUACAUAAUUAAUUUGGUGUAGUACAGAACCACUCCCAAAAACUUCGAACCGGCUGAAAAACUAACCGAAACCCCUUGAACCGGCCCAAAAACCAAAUUUAUUGGCUUGAACCGGCCCAAUUAACUAAACAGGCCCAGGCGCACACGGGUCGGGCGCAGGCGGGCGCGGCGGGACAGGCAGGAGGGCGCGCGGCGCAGGAGGGCGCACGGGCGCAUGCGGGCGCGCGGCACAGGCGGGCGCGCGGGCACAGGCGGGCGCAGGAGGGGCGCGCGGCGCGUGGGACGCAGGCGGGUCGCGCAUCGGGUCAUGACCGGGUUUUCGGGUCUGUGACCUUCUUUUCUUCAUUUUUUUUCAAUUCUCUCACCCGGUUGAACCCGUUACAGCCUAACUUCAACUCUAAUGACUUUUUUAGUUUUUAAAAAAUUACAAACACUUUGCAACAAUAAAAAUAAGCCAUUAACAAGGCUAAUUACAAUAAUUAGAACAAAAACACUUAAUCUAGAGCCAAAUUCAUAAUAUAUCCAUUUUAGUUCAAACCAAAAUUUAUCUAAUAAAUAUGAACCCACCACAUACAAUUGGGUAAAAAUGAAGCAUGCUCUGAAACCACAUGUACCAACUUGAUCACCACAAGUCCCAACUUGAUCACCACAAGUCCCAACUUGAUCAUUGAUGGUACUUGUGGUGAUCAAUGAUCAAGUUGGGACUUGUGGUGAUCAAGUUGGGACUUGUGGUGAUCAAGUUGGGACAUGUGGUUUCAAAGCAUGCUUCAUUUUUACCCAAUUGCAUGUGGUGGGUUCAUAUUUAUUAGAUAAAUUUUGGUUUGAAAGUAAUGGAGAUAAAAUGGGAUUGGAAGGUUUCUUUUUUCUUUUGUUGAGAUGAUGAAAAUGAUAAAAGAGGCAAAAGUUCUUCAACAUUUGAAAACACCUCUAUUUAUAACCUAAUUACAUGCAAAAAUGCAUGUAAUUCAUUUGCCAAAUCUCAACACCUAAUGUUCCACUAACAAUUAGUGGGCUAGGUGUCUAUAUCUCAUAUAGCCACAUAUCCCACUAAGAGUUAGUGGGAUUAUCCAACAAAAUGUUGGAUUUUUCCACUAACUUAGUCCAAGGGUAAAAUGGUCAUUAGAUAUUUCUAGUCAAAAGUCAAACUUUGACUUUUCUAAGUCAAAAGUCAAUAUUUUGACUUUUUACCAUUUUGUCCGUCUUGACUAAUUCCAACCUCCCGAGCAUGAAUCCGCAUUCAUUUUUCCAAAAUUCAAAUCACAUUUGAAUAUAAGGCCGGUCAAAGUUUGACCUUUUCAAAGUCAAAAGUCAACAUUUUGACUUUUUACUAUUUUUGACCAAUUCCAUCAAUUCUGAGCUUCUUAGUAUGAAUCCGCAUUCAUACUUAUAGUAUGUAAAACAUAAAGCUCUAUUUCUAAUUAGAAGACCGACGACUAUAUCACUAUAUUUGUCGGUUUCCCUUUCUUCUCCCAAUUCGAAACAAUUCGAGCUUAUUUCAUCACACUGUUCUAAGUUUAAUCCAUAUGAGCUAGCAGAGGAACCUAAUGGACCUAUAGAUCAUGGGCUCCAACGAUUCAAGAUUAACUAGCUAAACUCUUUUAAACCGAGUUAAUCAACAUUCGUUAACUAACGGGUCAUUCCACUAAAGUCCCGUAGUUGCACUCCCCUCACUAUAGAUAUAUUUGUGUCCAUUUGAUAAAACCAUAAUCAGUAAGUUAAUCCUUCACAGGUUGCUCGUAACCUUGGCUGGGUCAAAAUACCGUUUUACCCCCAAGAUUACAUCUUGCUCCUUAAGUCCCACUAAUCCACUAUUGAACAAUUGGUUUAAGGUUCAACCUAUAAACUUAAUCCCUCUCGGGCCAAUGAGAGGGUGGGGCCCCUUGUUCAAGACUUGGAUUCAGUGCUUAAGAGAGCAACCUAUCUACUAACCCUAAAGCGGGUAGGAGUGAAUUCCAUCUUGUACCCUAUGUUCCCAGCUAUCCACCGAUCUUACCCCUGAAAUGGGAGGCUUAUUGGGCCAACGCUGAUGAGCUGCCCUCACCUAUGCAGAUCUAAGGAUAAUCUCGUGUGAACAGGAGUUCAUAGUUAACUCAGGAUUAAGACUAAGUUACCUAGGUCAUCAAUAAUUGAGAUAGUCAGUUUUAAACAGUAAACGGUGUUAUAACGUAAAAAUGACUAAUUCAUGGUUCAGUCUUAUGUAAACAUUUUACAUAGGAUGCCCCCACUUUCAUGUCUCUACAUGAACGAUUAGGAUCACCUCGUUUGUACUACAAAGUGGGCCGCAUCCAUAGUUUCUCUAAAUAAGGCGCCCAACCUUUAUUUCAUAUACUAUAGACUAUUUAGGCUAUAUACUCGAACUUGAUCCACGUUUAUGUUUACACAUAAAGUUCAAGUUUAUUCAAAAAAUAGCCUUGGAACUUGAUUUAUUGGAUUUAAGAUUAUAAUAUUUAAUUUCUCAAUAACAACUUUAUUGAACAGAAUAUGAUUUACAAACUACGAGUUUUAGGACAAAAAAUUCCAACACUAAAGAGGUGCAAGAUAAAAAUAAAACAAUUAAACCCUUCAAAAACAAGUUUUGGGAUAAAAAAAAUGAGUAUGUGGCAUCACUGGUCACUUUUUGUGGAAAUUUUUUUCAAUAUUAUUCAAAAUGAGACUAUCUAGUAGUCAGAUUUGAAUUUUCGAUACUUUUCACAUUGUUCUAAAUUGGGUCGUUUCUUUGUAAGCUAUAGCAUGGACAUUUUUAGAACCGUUUUGGGUGCUACCAUAAUACAUCACUAAGGAGCACCAGUCUCGACCAUUAUGCAAUUUUCUGUGUCAUAGAGUAAUGCAAAAGAUAGGAUGUCGCACUUAUCAACCCACAAUCAUUGAGUUAAAGAGGUGCAAGAUAAAAACAAAAAAAAAAAUUAAAAUAAACGCUUCGAAGACAAGUUUUGGGACAAAAAUAAAACAUGAGUCUUAGAGCAUCAUGGAUCAGGUUUUAGUUUUUGUGGGGAAAAAAACUUUAAUAUUACUCAAAAUGACACAAUCUAGUAGUUAGAUGUGAAUUUUCGAAACUUUUUAACAUUGUUCUAAAUUGGGUCGAUCCCAAUUAAUUUUCUACUUUGUAACAAUGUUUCAUUUAUGUCAAUGGUUAGGUUGGAACAAGAUAUAAGCGUUAGGUAUGAAAACGGGUCAUGUUUGUUUAUUUUUCUAGAAAAAAAAAAUUGACAUAAUCCAACUCAAAUUUGGUUUCACAAAGAAGUUGUUCGACUUGACUCGGAAAAAAAUUAGAAACAAAGAGGAAGACCUUGAACAACCUAAAUUUGAUAGAAUUUAGGUAAUGAAAAUGAUUUGAAGAUCCAUGAAUGUGAAGGGCAGCUCAAUUAGAUAUGAAGUACAUAAUGAUCAUGUUGAUUAUUAUUGCAUGCAUUUAGGUUUGAAAACCAUGAAGUAUUGAGAAAACAUAAAAGUGAAAUUCAAAGUUUAAUUUGGAUGAUUGGAUGUUUUUGUUGAAUAUGAUUUGGGAUAGACACUAUUUUUCCACCUCUCUUAAUUCAUCAUUCGCCAAAUGGCUACACAAUUAUAUACAUCCAAUAUAUAAGAGAUAUAUAAUGAUGAACAAUGUUUCAACUUUAAUUAAAGUGAUGGAAUCAUGGAAAUAUAUGUAAGAACGAUGAGUUCGCAUGCCAAAUUGCCAUAAACCACUCCAUCUUCAUUGAUUUCAUAAGUUAUAUGAUAACCUUUUCUUUUUCUGUUUUUCAUUUUUUACUAUAGAUUUUUUAAAUUAUUAAUUUCAUUUUUCGUUUUCAAUUUUUGAAAAGAAUAAACAUUAGUAAGAUUGAAGAUAAACCCAAAUAAACAUUGGCCCAACAUAAGAUAAAACCCCAUUAUUAGCAAAAUGGGCUCAUAUGGGCUGUAAGCUUAUAAGGGUAACUACCCACGUGGGUCAUGUCUAUCGUGCGGUCAGCCGUCAACUCCAUAAUGGGUUGGAAUCUUUUUGGAUCUGGGCUAAUUGGGCCAAUUGGGUUUGCUCCAUUUAUCUUUAAAGCUAUGUUUGCUCCAUUUGAGUCUUGCACUCAUCCGUAUAACUCCAAAAGGCACUUGAGGCUUCUAAAGCUAGCUAGAUUUUCUCUAUCAAUAAACAAACUUGAAGACAAAGUUAGUAAAUUGGAUUAAGUGAUUUUAGUUUCAUUAGAGUGACCUAAAGUAAAAAAGUAGGAGAUGAGAUCUUCUGGUUUAGGGAUACACAGAGUCGUCCUAAGAUUGAUUUUGUGGAGUGAGUGGGCAUCCCAUUGGGUUUAACCAAACAACAUCUAGAGAUGUGAGAAAGGGUUGAAAUAGUUGGAUGGAAGAAAGAGAGAUGAAUGGAAAGGAAGUAAGUAUUCACGGGGUAACAAAAGUUUGAUAUUAUUAAAAAAGAAAAAGAAAACAAAGAGUUGAAAACAUGGAAAUGAGUUGUAAGGAAGGAGUGAUGGAAAAGUUUGGUUGGGUACCCAUUGACCACAAAACAAUGGUUCACGGGUGCCUUUACACUCUCUCACUACAUCCUUUUUUUAAUCACACAUUCCAACAAACACUAAGGCCAUUUUUCUUUUAACAAACAUAUACAAUUUACAUUAUUGAUAUCUUUUCAAUAUUUAACACAAUAUUAUAUAUAUAUAUAUAUGAAAAUUUGUAUGGAUGAAAAAUGAAUCAUAACGAAAUCAAUUUAUUUAACUAUUUUAAAAAAAACAUUAAUUUCAAAUAAAAACAAAGGAAAGAAAAUUGAUGUAUAAUUUCCACACAUAAAUAGUUUUAGGGCAAAGGACAAAAUAGAAAUAGGUAACUUUUGAGGACAACCAAGCAAUUUUUGAAAAAGUGAAGAAGAGCUGAAUCUUCUCUUUUGCUCUCAUCCACAAAAAAGAUUUGCCCAUUUUUUUCAUCUAUUUUUCCUUCAAUUUUAACCUUUUGUUUGAAUAGGAAUUAAUUCUCCACCACACAAAAUAAUGAAAAGCUCAUAAAUCCAAAUGCCUUUCUUACAAAAAUAUAAUAACACUAAUCACCCUUCAAUUUUUGUGGUCCACUAGUUUUGCAUGUAAAUCCAAAUCUUUGGACCCAUGGGGUGGAAAAAUUGAAUAAAUAUCUAAAUUUUUAACAUACUUUAUACUAAAUAUCAAUUCAUACAAAAAUAGAUUAUAAAUGUAAAGGAGUACUGUAUAGAAUAGAGAAACACCUCAAAUUAACUACAUAAUUUUAAUUAACAUUUAAGUUAACUAUACAUUAUUGUUUACUACAUGUAACAUUAAUACAUAAUAGAGAGAAAGUUUACCAAAAGAAUGUAAAUUGAACUUAUGGGUUCACUUGCAUGGUAAAAUUAGUAGUUACAAAGUAAAAAUGUUAUUAUUAUCAUCCCUAUUAAUAAACCUUUCUUGUUGGCUAAAAUAAUAACAAAGACAUGAUUGAGUAUUAAUUUAGGAAACCACAUAAUAAAAGUGCUAAGAAAUAGAAGGGAUAUGUUAUAUUACUUUAUAGUAUUGAAUCAAUUAUAAAGGUGAAUGACAAAAAAUAAUGGAGUUAGAUUAGAGUAAUGUAUGGUCAUAUGUACUUAAUAAUUAAUUAUUCUUUUACAUUAUGUCAUGUUUUUAUUUAUUUAUUUAUUUUUUUUUGGUCCAAUUCAUCUAAUUAUCAAUACAUUAAACUUAAUUAUUCAAGUUCCUUUUGACAUUAAAACUCAUCAUUUUAACUCUAUGAAAGGAUUUGGAUGAAAUGUGCAGUUGUAAGAUUCCUUACCAUAUCAAUUAGCUAUUUGUAUUUUUAAUUUGAUAGGAUGAUGUAAUUAUCAUUCUACUACAUAAUAAUACAAUUGAAUGAAGAUUGAUACAAACAAAAAGUAGUUGCAAAUAUAGCAAUCAAACCUAAACAAUAACUCAUCAUCUUUCAGUCUCUAAUAAGUUUGAAGUAGUAAGAAAAAAGAAAAGAAAUGAAAUGAAAAAACAAAACACUAAGAAUAAUUAUAUUUAAAGAAGAGAUAGAAUGCCAAUGUUGGCAUAUUGAGAGAGAGAGAGAGAAUGAGAAUGUGAAGAAAACAGUGUGUGUGUGUGUGUGUGUUUAAGGGCUUAGAAAGAAAGCAGUGAGCUGAGUUAGUAAGAAAAACCCAAAUCAGAAGAAGAUAACUGAAAUGAAGAAGCAAGAAGAAGAACAACAUCAAGAACAAGAAGGAUGCGACAUUGAAGCCAUAGGAAUCACCUACAAGAUUCAAAUCCAUAACUCCAAAUCCCCAUUUCUCAACUUCUUCUCCACCUCAAAACCCUCCCUCCGCCAUCGCCAUGUCCUUUCCGACGUCAAUUGCCAAGCCAAAUCCUCCCAAAUCCUUGCCAUUGUCGGCCCCAGCGGUGCCGGAAAAUCCACUCUCCUCCAAAUCCUCGCCGGCAAAACCACCCCUCACGGCGGCUCCCUCCUUCUCAACCACCUCGCCGUCGACCCUUCCUAUAUCAACCGAAUCUCCGGCUACGUCCCUCAAAAAGACUCCCUUUUCCCUCUCCUCACUGUCGAAGAAACUCUGACCUUCACCGCCCGCCUCCGUCUCUCCCUCCCUUCUGCCGUCCUCACCGCCAAGGUUACUUCUCUGAUCGACGAACUCGGUCUGACCCAUGUCGCCCGUUCCCGAGUCGGCGACGACCGAGUCCGUGGAAUCUCUGGCGGCGAGCGGCGGCGGGUUUCAAUCGGCGUGGAAGUGAUUCACGACCCCAAAGUUCUUAUUCUUGACGAACCCACUUCCGGUCUCGACAGCACUUCCGCUUUUCAGAUCAUCGACAUGCUGAAAACAACCAUGGCUGAAGCUCAGCGAAGAACCAUCAUUCUUAGCAUCCAUCAACCUGGAUUCAGAAUCGUGAAGCUUUUCGAUUCCAUUCUUCUUCUUUCCAAUGGCUCUGUUUUACACCAUGGCUCUGUCGAACAUCUCGGACUCAACCUCACUCUAAUCGGCCUUCAACCUCCUCUUCAUCUCAACAUUCUCGAAUUCGCCAUUGAAUCCAUCGAAACAAUCCAACAAACCCCAAAUCAAACCCAAUUGUUAAUCCCUCACUCCCAAUUAAAACCCCCUAAAUUCACCCUGCAACAGCUAUUUCAACAAUCCAAAGUCAUCGACGAGGACACCAUCAAAAUCGGAAUCCACAAAUCAAUCCCUCACCAUUUCGCCAAUUCCCCAUUCAAAGAAACGGCCAUCCUCAUGCACAGAUUCUCCAAGAACAUAAUCAGAACAAAGGAGCUUUUCGGUUGCAGAACAGUACAAAUGUUGGUAACAGGGCUUGUUCUUGGUUCAAUUUUCUACAAUCUCAAAUUCGAUUUAAUUGGUGCUGAAGAACGCGUGGGGUUAUUCGCCUUCAUUCUCACAUUCCUAUUAACAACCUCGAUCGAAGCCCUCCCAAUUUUCUUACAAGAAAGAGAGAUUCUAAUGAAAGAAACCUCCUCAGGUAGUUACAGAGUAUCCUCAUACGCCAUAGCCAACGGAUUAGUAUACCUUCCGUUUCUACUAAUCUUAGCAAUUCUGUUCUCAAUUCCAUUAUACUGGCUAGUGGGGCUUAACAGAAACAUAAUAGCGUUUCUUCAUUUCAUGCUGUUGAUAUGGCUGAUUCUAUACACAGCAAAUUCAGUGGUGGUUUGUUUCAGUGCAUUAGUGCCAAAUUUCAUAGUGGGGAACUCAGUGAUAUCGGGGGUAAUGGGUUCGUUCUUCCUGUUCUCGGGGUAUUUCAUAUCGAACCAGGAAAUACCAAAGUAUUGGAUAUUUAUGCAUUACAUAUCAGUGUUUAAGUACCCAUUUGAAGGGUUUUUGAUAAAUGAGUUUUCGAGAUCAGGGAAGUGUUUGGAAAUGAUGUUUGGGGAAUGUGUAGUGAGAGGAGAGGAUGUGCUGAAGGAAGAAGGAUACGGGGAAGAAAGUAGGUGGAGAAAUGUAAUGGUAAUGGUGGGGUUUGUUUUGAUCUAUAGAUUUGUUUCUUAUGUUAUUCUUAGAUGUCGAUGCUGCAGGAAAACUGGUUUUGUUUAACAGAAAUGAAGAAGAACGAAGAUGAAGAAGAUGAAGAAGAUUGAAGAUCGAAGAAGAAGAAUAAGGACAAAAAAAAAUCUCUCUCUUCACGAGUUUGGAUUUGAAAGAUGCUCUUAGUUCACGUGGUAGUUUUAAUUGUAGCCAAAGGUUAUACUCACACGUGUUUCUUUGUUCUUUCGGAUUUUUAUUUUUAUUUUUUGCCCUUUCUCUCUAACUAUAUAUAUAUAUAUAAUAUAUGUAAAAUUUUCUUUUAAAUUAACAAUUUGGUGUGUGGUUUGUUCAUCUAAGUUCAAAUUUAUUCAACCAAUUAUUUAGUAGAGAAAAGCUUAAAUGGUGAAAGUGAUUUUAAGUAAUCAAAAUUUCUUCUUACAAAAAUUGUGAAGUAUCAUGAAUAUUUCUUUUACAUAAUUCUUUUCUUCGGUAAAAGAUAAGUUCAGGUUAAACAAAACUAUUUUUUUAUUUAUUUGCCAAAUAUGAUAUUUAACAUAUUAUUACUUAUGAAACACAAAUAAAAGAAAGAAAGAAAAAAAGAUCUGUAAACAUAGAUUCAGAAAUCCAUAUUAAUAGAGAUAAAUCGUGUUAAUACCAUUAAAACAUACAUGCUUUGAAAGAACUAAUUUCAAAUGUUAGUUGUUUUAGGAAAAGAACAAGCAAAACCGAGAACAAUGACUAAGCAAACAAAACGUAGAUCCAAUCACAACUUUCAUAUAUGCGUGAGUAGUGUCACCUCAUUUCAACAACAAUCAUGGUUCAAGAUUUGAUUUAACUAACAAUUCUAUUCAUCACUCCCUAACUAUAGAAUCACCAAUUCAAUCAAUUAUAUCACCAUCAAAGAAAGAAAAAAAAUGGUAAAAAGUAUUUUUAUUUUUGAAUAAUUGAAAUGCUCCAUAGUUUUCAACCUUUAAUAGUUUAUUUAACAAAAAUUGUAAAACAUAGAAAUAUAUUCUAAAUAAAAUAAACGACAUAUAUCUCACAACUCCACCUUAACAAAUUUAACACUUGAAAAUAAACAUCAUGAAUGAAGACUAAAAAUCCAAACUUUCAAAAUUAAUAAAAAAAAUUCUCAAAUUUGAAUGAUUUUUAGAAAAGCUCUACAAAUAGUGUCUCUUCCCAAACUCGGUUAUUCCAAUUCUUUUUCUUUACCGUUAUUUUCCCCCUUCUUCAUCAAUAAUUUAUAAAACACUCUCCCAAAUUCCAUCCCCACCCCAUCCCUUCUUCUAUAAAACAAUGGACAAACACACGGUAACCUCCGAUGAACUUCUCGGAAUCAAAAUCUACACCGAAGAACACGCCAACGGCGGUGGGCGGAAAAGACGAGCAAUGGCAAAAGGAAUGCAAAAAACACGCUCAAAAACCUCAAUGCUAGCUAGUAAACUUCCUUCCAACCGGCACUCUCCUAACCUUCGAAAUGCUUCUGCCGUCGGUCUCCGGCAAGGGGGAGUGCACGCGGGUGAACACGAUGAUGAUAUAUAAACUUCCUCUUGGGCUUAUGCGCUUCUAUCCUGUUUCUUGUUUCACUUCACAGACAGUUUCAAAUUAGGCGUGGACGGGAAAGUUUAUUACGGGAUCGUGACGCGGAGAGGGCUGGCGGUGUUCAAGACGGGGUUGAGUGAGGUGGAAGUGGCGAAGGAGGAGAGGUUAUGGAAAGCUUUCCUUUGAUGGUGGGAAGCAUUUGUAGUGCUUUGUUUUUGGUGUUUCCUAAUACUAUAUAUUAUAUGGUAUUGGUUGUAUGGCUAAUUGACUCUAUUACCCCCCACCUUUUUUUUCUUUUUCUUAAUUGUUAGGAUUUUUUUAAUAAUUAUUAUUCUAAUUUUACUAAACUAUAAUCACCAAUUCAAUCAAUUAUAUCUAUAAAAGAAGAAAAAAAUUGGUUAUAUCUAUAAAAGAAGAAAAAAAAUUGGUUGUAUGGUCGUGUAUGUUGCCAUGGCCUUUGUUAAUUCUUCGAAACUAGAAAGAACAAAGAUCUCACAUAUUCAUACAGGUGGAAAAGAUAGAAACAUGCAUCGUUUUGAUUGAAACUUCUUUUAUUGAUAGAGGACGAAAAAACAAAUACAAGUAGUCAUACACCUAAAAAACGAUCAUCCAAAUCAAAAGAUAUGACCUAGAAACUAUCCAUUUCUCAUGUGUCGUCAAAUUUUGCCUAAUUGCUUCUUAGAGAUAGUUUGUUUUAGCUCCAUUUUCGUCCUUACACUCAAUUGUGCUUCUUUGAUGCUUAAAACCAGUAAAAUAAUCAAACAUAAUAAGAACCUAGAAUUAAGUGAAGCUAGAUAACAUAUUUAUGGUGCUAUCAUUUAUUUACCAUUUCACACUAUAAUUUUAUUAUUUCUAGUUUAUCUUACCAAGCCAGUGUCAAUUUUCUUUUCUCAUUCUCAAUGUUCUUUUAUUUGCUUCAAAAAUUCAAUUUGAAAAAAAAAAAUGUGAGAAAGUUGAGAAUUGAAGAGGAAAAAAAAGAACAAAAUUAGUUUUUUUUUUUGUUUAUUUGAUUAAUUAAUUCAAGAAUGUUGAUUAUGUUUGAGUAUUGACAUGAAAUAUUUAUCGAAAAAUUAGGAAGAAUUUUCAUCAUUUGUUGAAAUCAAAGUAAGGCUCUCUCUAAAAGUGCUUGUAAAAUUUGGUAACAAAAUAGGGUUUAAACCAAAAGAUUAUAAAAGAAGAAAAAAUAAUAAUUACUAAUAAUUAAUUAACAUUGUUGGGGCAGCCCAAAGAACGGUUGUGACCUCCAUUGCAGAAACAGAAGAACAAAGCUCAUUUGGUUGUAAAACCAAUAGAACGAAUCGAAAGCCUCCCUUGAGAGUUAUACAGUUGAAAAUGGAGCUUCAAGAUUUUGCGCCAAUUUUUGGUAAACCCACCAGAGUGGAGUGGGUAAACAGGGGUUCACUUUCUUUGCUCCAAUUUUUGUUCCAUGUUUAUUCUCCAAAUCCUUCGCACCUCAGAUUUCUUGUUACUGAUUUUCAUUCUAACACUUGGGAAUCCACCAAAUCAGCUUUCCAGCUUGAGGAUAUGGUGGGCAUCUUUGAUUUCUCCCUGUACGUCGUCUCUUUGUUGCAUCCUUCUUCUUUGAUUUCUAUUAAUAUGUUGUUCUUGCUUCUUUUUUUCCUCUUAGCAAAUGAUGAAAUGGGAUUGUUUUUUAGAAUUUGUUGGUGCGAAAAGCUCUACUAUUUUAUGUAAUCUUUGAUACAGAGAGAUGACAUUGGAAUUGGAGGGGCUUUUUCAGAGUUUGUUGAUUAUAUUGUUGCAUCUAUGAAAUUUGGAGAUGUAAGGCUUUGUAUGGAAGGACAAUCGGGGAAAGAUGGUAAUCUUCCUGAUAUGUAACUAAUUCAAAUUCUCUUUCCCAUUCAAUAUAUUGUGAAACUCACUCCUUUUUUUAUUAUUCUACAGGUGCAGCAUCUGUCAAACUAAUUGCUCAGAAAUCAAAGGGAAUGCCUGUAUUUUCCAUUUCUCUCACAAAACUUGUUGACUCUGCUGCUGCUGAAGCUAUGGCAACUAUGUCCUUGGGGCUUUUUAACUCAUUAAAAGAAAAGGAGUGUUCACUUAUGAAAGGUUUUCAUCGCUUAUCUAUAGACUGCCUAUAUUCUGUGCUAUAGUCAUCAAAUAUGUCGAUAUCGUUUGGUUAGAAAAAAAAAGAAUACAUUUUUAUAGUGUUUGAACAGAAGGAAAGAUGUUGGAGGUUCUUAUGAAAUAUAGUGAUCGGGUGGGCUCAGUGUGUGGAUCAUUCUAAUUAGAUGGAAGGAUAGGCAUCUUUAGUUUCUUUUCCCUUUUUGUUCCAUCUAGAUUUUGGUAUUUGGCUUUCAUUUCUCUCAAAUAACUUCUCACAGCAUUCUACAAAAUUGUUUGGUAUUUUGUUAAGGCCUUAGCCACAAUUUUAUUUAUCAACUAUGGGGAAGGAUUUGAGAGUUCCCCAAUCUCUCCACACUACUCUAAUGAGAGUCUAUACCAAAAUCAUUUAGCCAAAAAGAUACCCACCCCCAACAUUCACAAUACCUAAAUAGGCAAACUCUAAGAAAGCUAACAGAAUACUUGGCCCCACUUUAACAGUCAUACUCCUAAGGGCCCACCUUACGGGAAAUUACUAACUAACUCUCAAUCAUUCUUUCUUCUUCCCACUUUUAUUCCUAUGUGAAUACACCUUUACUAUGGGGGGUCUAUCAAAUUUGUAUCUGAACAUUGGCAUGUUGCAUUUUUUGUUAUGAAUUAUGCAUAUACAAAAUAAUUGUCUUAUAUUCAAAUGGAUAUAUUAGAAUGUGUCAACUCUCCGGUGUGUCUGUGAACUUUAAGAAUACCUAAUUUUGGUUCCAUUCGUAUGUGAUGGGCCAAUCCAGUCAAGCUGAUUUGAAGUAGGGAAAUAAACACAGUACUCUCAAUCAAAUCUGUCUUGGGAAGCUGUUUCUUUUUAGUCUCCCAUUGGUGUGGUUUUGUAGGACUGACUCAAAUAUCAUGUGCGAACUGCUUGAAAAUGUUUGUACUUGAAAAUUACUUUGUUUAGACUUUAGGGUACCGUGUUUAUUGAACAACAAACUACGUGAUGUACAUGGUUUUAGUUUUUCUUUCUUUAUUAUUAUUAUUUUUUUUUGGUAACUGUGAUAGCAUAGUUUGAUGUAAUAUUCAUUUAUAGGUUAAAUUUAGAACAAGAUUUUUCUCAGAAAUGUUCAAUUUUUUGCAUGCUUGCAUUGAAACUUAGCAUCUGUAGCAUUGACUUUUCUCCUAUACUGUUCUUUCAGAACAAGAGCACUCCCUUCAGUUGACAACCAUGAUAUCAACUGAAAAGGUAUAUCCAUCUUCGUCUUGCACCACUGUAAAUAAAUAUGAUACAUGGUGAUGGGCACUUUUAGUUUUAUACUUAUCGAUAGACUUCAUUAAUAAAUACAUUUAAUAAUACACAAUAUAACGAUAACAAGAUUUCUUCUGAUUUCUUCUCUUCCACAGCCUCUCUUAUAUAUCAGAACUCAAACAGUUUACUCUAGUCAAUACUGUUCCCUGUUAUUAGUCUGCAUAUGUUUUGUUAAUUUUUACUUCCUUUGAAACUUUAUUUAUUAAAUGUUAAUAAGAAAAAAGAUUAAAAAUUAAAAAUGAAGAACACGGAUGUUCUUUAUGUCUCACUUAUUCUUUCAUUAUAUAUGACCUCAUGUAACUUUGUUAGCCAUUUCUUGGUUGAAAAACAUUUUCCAUUACAAUACCAAUUGCUUCCUUAUCCCCUAUGGAUUCAACUCAUGGGUCUUUGAGUUUCUCUAUUUUUGUAUUAAACAUUUCUUAUUUGAGAUUAUACUUUUUGUUGAUGUCAGGAAAAGAACGAAAAUAUCCAAACUCAGCUCGGGCAAUAUAGAAAGAAACAGAAGUUACAAAAUAUGAAUGCCUCAAAUUCUCCUGGUAUGUUCCUAUAAUCAAUCCAUUUAAGGUAUUAUGAAAUUAUAUGUUAUGUACUAAAGGACUGAUCGAUUUUUUCCGUUCUUCACAGAUAAAUCUGGCGUACAUAAUAUUGGCUUGACAAAAGCCACCAAUCGUGUGGUGCCAGUACACCGGAGGUCGGUUUCUCAAAGUUACAUUCAUCACAUAAUUCAAUUGAUUUAUUCCCAAUACUAAUAGAUGUACUUAGCAUUGUAUUUGAACAGGGCGAAAGCUAGGGGUGCCCUUCUGCAAGACUCUGAAGAUGACAAUGGUAGGUAGAGAAGUUGAAUGUCUUGUAUCCAAUCUAGUUUUGUACAGAAUUUUGAUUUCUGAAAAGCUGCUCUAGCCAAUCACUCUCUUCCCUUUGAAUGGAGAAAAAAAAUCCCGUGGUAUUGAGUUCCUCAAUGGUUUGCUUAAAAAGGAACAGGAAAUCCUUGUUUAGGGUCAAGAGGCUAUCUCCCUGUCGUUAUCCCAAAGCUUUAAAACUUUUGUUUCUUCCAUGCAAGUUUUACUUUCUAGCACAUCCACGUUAAAUGAUCUCAUUUUUUCAUAUAUUUUCUUUUAAUCUACACUAAUAGAGAUGUUCCUUCCAUUUUUUUCCCAUUUUUUCUUACAGAAAAAGAGCGCUCCCUUCAGUCGACAUUCGAGGAAAAGGUAUAUUCAGUCUCCUGUCCCCUUUAUGAAUAAAGCACUUUGUCCUUUUAUAGACGGGUUCUUAUUGUCUUGAAAUACCUCAAAAUUAGUACAAGUAUGACCAUAGUCGUGGUGUAUUUUUGGUGCCUUCGGAGCGUAUUUUCAUCUUGCUCAUUAAUUGUUUGUAAAUUUUUUAAUCUACUUUUGAAUAUGUCAGGAAAAGAAAGAGGGGUUGCUAAAUACAGAUACCUUGGCCAUUGUAGACAAUCUUCAUAAGCCUCCUAGUAUGUUUUUUAUGGUUCCCUCUAAAAUUUAAGCUUAUUUGUUUUUAUUGAAAAGAGAGACAACGAGUUCACACCAAUUUACGUGGAAACUCGAGUACCGGGAGAAAAACCACGAUUGUUUGUUGUUAUUAUUUUCUAAUGAAUAAAACAAUAGGUACAGGGAGAAUAAAUAGAGUACACAAUGGAAUAAAAAAGGAAAAGAUUUAGGAAAAUAAGGAAUACAUUCCCAUAAUCUUUCCAUAAUUAUUCUAGGAUUCUAACAAGGAAAAAGCCUAGAAAAAAAGGAAAGAAUUCCAACACUCCCCCUCAAGUUGGGACGUAAAUAUCAAUGAGGCCCAACUUGCUAACGCAAAGUCGAAGUUUGGUCUGAGAAGCCCUUUGGUAAGAACAUCAGCAACCUGUUGACUCGAAGGGAUGUACGGAAUGCAUAUGCUCCCACUGUCAAGUUUUUCUUUGAUAAAAUGUCGAUCAAUCUCAACAUGUUUAGUUCUAUCAUGUUGAACAGGGUUGUUAGCAAUACUAAUAGCGGCUUUAUUAUCACAGAAAAGCUUCAAUGGUGUCUCACAUUCCUGAUGAAGAUCUGUCAAAACUUUCUGAAGCCAAAUUUCCUCACAUAUUCCUAAACUCAUAGCUCUGUAUUCAGCCUCAGCGCUGCUCCUGGCCACAACACUUUGCUUCUUACUCCUCCAAGUUACAAGAUUGCCCCAAACAAAGGUACAAUAACCAGAGGUAGAUUUUCUGUCAACAACAGAUCCUGCCCAAUCCGAGUCAGUGUAUGCCUCAAUGGUCUUUCUGUCUGUUUUUCUAAACAUCAGCCCUUUACCAGGUGUUGAUUUUAAGUAUCUCAAGAUUCUGUUGACAGCUUUCAUGUGUUCCUCAUUAGGGGUCUGCAUAAACUGGCUGACAACACUCACAGCAAAGGAAAUAUCAGGACGAGUAUGAGAUAAGUAAAUUAAUUUACCCACGAGGCGUUGAUACUGUUCUUUAUCAACUGGAACUUGAUCAUCAGAGUUUCCUAGUUUGCAGUUGAAUUCAAUAGGAGUGUCAGUGGGACGACAUCCUAACAUACCUGUCUCGGUUAACAAAUCAAGGAUGUAUUUUCUUUGAGAUACGGAGAUACCUUCUUUAGAUCUGGCCACCUCCAUUCCAAGGAAAUAUUUCAAAUUUCCCAAAUCCUUGAUUUCAAACUCAUCGCCCAUUCUCUGCUUUAGUUGACUGAUUUCUGCCUGAUCAUCUCCAGUCAAAACAAUGUCAUCCACAUAAACUAUUAGAACAGCAAUCUUUCCUGUUUUGGAAACCUUUGUAAAUAAAGUAUGAUCAGAGUGUCCCUGCCUGUACCCUUGGGACUUGACAAAGGUAGUGAAUCUGUCAAACCAUGCUCUGGGAGACUGUUUCAGACCAUAUAUAGAUUUCUGGAGUUUACACACAUGCUGACCAAACUGGGCUUCAAAUCCAGGCGGAGGGCUCAUGUAGACUUCCUCUACGAGGUCUCCAUUCAAAAAGGCAUUCUUAACAUCCAGCUGAUAUAAAGGCCAAUCUUUGUUCACAGCAACAGAUAACAGAACUCUAAUAGUAUUCAACUUAGCAACUGGAGAAAAAGUUUCUGAAUAGUCAAUACCAUAGGUUUGAGUAAAUCCCUUCGCAACUAACCUUGCCUUGUGUCUGUCAAGAGUACCAUCAGCUUUGUAUUUGAGAGAGAACACCCAUUUGCAUCCCACAGUUUUGUGUCCCUUAGGUAGAGUACAAAUGUCCCAAGUACUAUUCUUUUCAAGAGCUUUCAUCUCUUCCAUGACAGCAUUCUUCCAUUCAGGAUACUUUAAAGCAGUGUAGAUAUCUUUUGGUAUUAUGGUAGAGUCAAGGCUUGCUGUAAAAGCUCUGAACUGAGGAGAGAGACUAUCGUAGGAAACAUAAUUGCAAAUGGGGUGUUUAGUACAAGACCUGGUGCCUUUUCUCAGAGCAAUGGGAAUGUCAAGAGAGGAAUCAUACUCAUCUGAUUUUCCUGUAUGACCCUGUUCCGCUUCAUUAUUACGGGUUUCUAUUCUGACCUCAAUCUCAUCACCACUGUCCUUUUCUUCCACGUUUUCAAGAACAGCAACAUUAGACCUGUCAUUCUCACUUAUCAUAUUCUUAGUACAGGGUUCAGUAGGGUUUUCCAUACCUUGAUCUCGAGGAGGUUCAGAGUCUUGGACUGGAGCCGGCGGCUGACUAGUAGGGGAACCGACUUCCUUUUUGUGAUUCCUCCUGUAGUACGUUUUCCAGGGGACUUGGUUUGUGGGUAGGACUAUGGAAUGAGGAAUGAUGUUAGACACGACACUAGGAGUGGGUUCGAUGAAUUCAAAGGUGUUGUUAGACUCUUCACUCACACUCUCCCCCUGAAGAUGGCUAACGGGAAAGUAGGGUCGAUCCUCACAGAAAGUAACAUCCAUAGUGACAAAGUAUUUUCUGGAUGGUGGGUGAAAACAUUUAUAACCACGCUGGUGAGGGGGAUACCCAACAAACACACAUGCCUGAGCCCGAGGGGUAAAUUUGGUUUGAUUAGGGCCAAAAUUAUGGACAUAAGCGGUACACCCAAACACACGAAGAGGAACCUCAGAAACAUGACGAGUCGAUGGGUAGGACUCCUUAAGACAAUCUAAGGGAGUUUGAAGAUGAAGAAUACGAGAAGGCAUUCUAUUGAUUAAAUGAGCUGCUGUAAGAAUAGCAUCUCCCCACAAGUAUGAAGGAAGGGAAGUAGAAAGCAUAAGGGAACGGGCUACUUCCAGAAGGUGACGGUUUUUUCGCUCGGCCACUCCAUUUUGUUGAGGAGUGUAGGCGCACGAGUUUUGAUGAACAAUCCCCUUGGAAGCAAGAAAUUCACUAAGGUUAUGGUUUUGGAAUUCCCGACCAUUAUCACUCCGAAGAAUAGCAAUUUUUUGAUGGAAUUGUGUUUCAAUGGUGUGAUAGAAAUUUUGAAACAUAGAGGAAACCUCAGAUUUAUCAGUGAUAAGGUAGACCCAGGUAAGACGGGUAUGAUCAUCAAUGAAGGUUACGAACCACCGUUUUCCAGAUGAGGUUGUUAUCUUGGAUGGUCCCCAGACAUCACUAUGAACAAGAGUGAAGGGUUGGGUUGGUUUGUAUGGUUGUGAGGGAAAAGAGACUCGAUGUUGUUUGGCCUGAAUACACACAUCACAAGAUAAGGUAGUCAUCUCAACUUUAGAGAAGAGAUGUGGAAAUAAAUGUUUCAUAUAUUGAAAAUUAGGGUGGCCUAAACGAAAAUGCCACAACAUACAAUCUUGUUCAGAAGUAGUGAAAUAGGAAGAUAAGAGACUAGUCCUAGGAAUGCUACUAGAAGAGGUAUCGUCAUCAAGGAGGUAGAGUCCCCUACUAUGCCGGGCAGUGCCAAUCAUCCUCCCCGAGCUCAAGUCCUGAAAAGAGACAGAAUCAGGUAAGAAUAUUGCUUUGCAGUUUAACUCAUGAGUGAUCUUGCUUAUCGAAAGCAAAUUAUAAGAUAGUUUGGGCACAUGCAAAACAUUAUGUAAGGAGAGCCCUGCACAAGGAGAAAUCUUCCCCUUUCCAGCAAUGGGGGCCAAGGAGCCAUCUGCAAUUCUAAUUGUCUCGUUCCCAGCACAAGGAAUGUAAGAUACAAAAUGUUCAGAGGACCCAGUCAAAUGAUCUGUGGCACCAGAAUCCAGAAUCCAGGGGUUCUUCCCAUCAAUACUAACAAGACCGAAGGAAUGAGGUAUACCUGAUUGGACAAUGGCACCUAAAGUGGCAAGACUGAGAUCAGUUUGGUUUUUGUGUGGAUCGGAUUGUUGAGGAGGUUCAGCAGACUCACUCACAUACGCCCGCCCUGUGUUCUGUUUGUCGUUGGAAGGGCGUUUCUUACUUCCUGGGGGACGACCAUGUAACUUCCAACAUUGUUCUUUGGUAUGCCAUUGUUUUUUGCAAUGCUCGCAGACAGGAAUUGGUUUUCCAUUAUGCUUGUCACUGCUACUGUUAGAAGAUCUUGCACUAAAAGCAGCAGAGUCAAUAGUAGGGGUUGCGGAAAUAUUCAUAGCACUUGUGCGAUCUUCCUCGAGGCGGAUUUCAGAGCAAACUUCCAUCAGGGAGGGAAUCGGUCUUUGACCUAGUAUACGCCCUCGAACUACAUCAAACUUAGGAUUAAGACCAGCAAGAAAGUCAUAAAUCCUGUCAUUCUCUUCAAUUCUCGAGUACUGUACACCAUCAGUGGGAUCACGCCAGACUAGUUCUCUGCAUAGGUCCAUUUCUUGCCAUAUAAGAGAAAGCUUAUUGAAAAAGGAUGUGACAUCCAUGGUUCCUUGCUUGCAUUCAUGAACUUGCUUUCUCAGCGUGUAUAGACGAGAGGCAUUCUGACGUUUUGAGUAAAGUGUCUGGGCUGUGUCCCAAAUAUCCUUGGCUGUUGCAGCAAACAAUAACGGCUUGCCAAUUUGAGGUUCCAUACUAUUGAUCAAUAUGGAUCGAAGAAUAGAGUCUUCUGCCUUCCAAUAUCGUUCAUGUGGGUCGCCCGGUAGGGGGCGAGGUAUUUCCCUGUCAGAAAGCUAAAUUUUUGUCGUCCUUCGAGGACCAUCUUUACUGACUGAGACCAUGAGAAAUAGUUGUUGCCAUUCAACUUUUCUCCUGAAAGAUGAUACAUGGAAGACUGAGCCACCGUAUUAGUCACAUAAGGAGAGGAUACAUUAGGGAACGAGUUUACCGGAUUCUCAGAAUACAUCGGUAGAGUGGAUGUCGUCCCUAAGGUAGCCUCAAGUGCUGCUAUCUGUUGUCGAAGCCCUUCCAAUUGUUGAUGAACUAUUCCCGAGGAAGCUUGCACGUUACGGUUGGAAUAUGCCGAAGAUUCACCAACCUCAAAUGUUGAGUGAAUUUGAGAGUUUUUAACAUCGGGAUGGUAGCUAGGAUCAUUGGGUGGCUGGCCAUACAGAUUUGACGAGCAGAAGCGGUGGUAGCCGAUUGGAAUUAGAUGGCAGAACAUAAAUCGGGGCGUGGGGAGCAAUAUAGGCCGCGGACGAAGAAAAGGGUUGGACAGAUGGGAUGGUCGGCGCCGUCUGAGGAAGAAAACCAGGCGCGUGGUGGUCCGGUGACGGCGCGGACGACUGCGGUAAUGACGAAAAAUUAUUUUCGGACGUUUUCUGUAGCCGGCUUAAUAAUUCGUCCAUGGCAGCACUCAUCCGAGCAUCGGUGGCAGCAGCUACGGCAGCACUAAAAUUGAUGGUUGUCCCUUCUGUUUGAUUUUAAUCAGUGGUUUGGUUUUUUUGGGUUUCUAGGGUGUUUUCAUUGUCCCGCUCUGAUACCAUAUUGAAAAGAGAGACAACGAGUUCACACCAAUUUACGUGGAAACCCGAAUACCGGGAGAAAAACCACGGUUGUUUGUUGUUAUUAUUUUCUAAUGAAUAAAACAAUAGGUACAGGGGAGAAUAAAUAGAGUACACAAUGGAAUAAAAAAGGAAAAGAUUUAGGAAAAUAAGGAAUACAUUCCCAUAAUCUUUCCAUAAUUGUUCUAGGAUUCUAACAAGGAAAAAGCCUAGAAAAAAAGGAAAGAAUUCCAACAGUUUUCAAGGUUUAAGAACACUUUUGGUCCCUGAGCUUUCACGAAAGUAAUAAUGUAUUUCCUAAACUUUAAAAUGCAAAAAUUUUGUCUAUUUACUUUCAACUUUGUAUGGACUUUAGUCUCUAUGAUGAAAGUGUUCAUUCAAAUUAAGUGUUAAUUUAUAUUACAUAAUGGCUUAGUCUUCAUAGUUUAUAUGUGAAUUUGAUCAUCAAUGAGUUAUAAACCUACCCGGGUAAGAAACUUAACUCAAUCACAAUAAUAAUUUCCACCAUAGAGAUUUGGUUCUUACUAAUUGUAAAUUACAAGAACUAAAUUGUUACAUUUUAAAGUUAAGGAACUAAAUUGUUAAUACAUUUGCAAGAAUGAGGACUAUCUUUUUGUUACCAACUAAAGUUGAGGGUCAAAAUCGUUAGUUUUAUGCUAGUUUAGGGACGAAAAGUGUUUUUUAAUUAUUCGCUACACAGAACUCAUUAUUGAAUUAUCUUAUUCUUAACAGACAAAUCUGUUCAUGAUAUCGGCUCGACAAAAAUCACCAAGCAUGUCGUGCCAACACAUCACAGGUUGGUUUCUUGACUAAAUGAACCUAAUUUUGUUUGUUAUUUCCCCACGAACGAUGGUAAACAUACUGUAGCAUUGUACUUGAGCAGGGCAAGAACACGAGGUGCCCUUCUGCAAGAUAACGAAGAUGACGAUGGAAGGUAAAAAAAACAAGACAGUUUCAAAAUGUUGAGUCCUUGUGUUCAAAACUAGUGUUAGACAUGGAGUAGGUAAACAAAAUAAUAGAUAUGAUUGUGCAAUGCAGACAUUUCUUUGUUGUAUAUGAUUACGUAAUUCUCAUCUAACUUUGGCUUUCUGCUCAAUUUAGAUUCGAAAAUGUGUAAAUUUUCGAAUGACGAGUAGAUACAAAUUUGAAAUAUAUUGUGCAGCUUAAAACAAGUCACAGUGUGAGACUUUUCAUUAAUUUCUCAAACAAAUCAGCACUUGUUGACAACUUUAUAUUACCAUAUGAGUUAGCUUGAAAAAUAUUAUUAUUAUUAUUAGAAUGUAGAACACAUUUUAAUUUCCAAUAUAUCACGUUCUACAAUUUUUUAAACAUUUAUUUUCAAAACUCUUGACUUUUCUUUAGAAAAAACCAAAAGCUUUUGUUCCAAUAUAUCAGGUUGUAGUCUUUGGCCCUUGAAUUUUGUUAACAUUUAUUUUCAACUAUAUUGACUCUUUCUUUAGAAAAAAUAAAAAAAAAAUUCAAACGAUUACCGAUAAUAAAAAUAGAUAAAGAUAUAAUUUGAAAGAUAUUUAUGAAUAAGUUUAUGAGUAAAAAUAGAUAAAGAUAUAAUCUAAAAGUCGUAUCAUUAAUAAAAGUUUAUCAAAUCAAAAAAUUUAUUACGAAAAAAAAAUAUAGAUAAUCUAACGAAGAGGGAAUCCAAAAAUGAUGAUGUAAAAAGGAAUGAAAAAGCAUUAUCCCCACACUUUAGUUUCUCGUACAAUGAGAACCAUCCAAAUUGUGACAAAGACAGAAAUGAGAUAAGCACAAACCACCAUUAUUGCAAUACAACAAUCAACUAAACUCAAACUCACUCACUCACCUAGACACAACUUUUAAUGCACUCUUUUUGAAAAAGCUUUCCCAAACAAAAGAAGAAGAAAAAAAAACUUAUAUAAUGUGUUGUAUACAAAUUAUUUAUGUUUAUAUGCAGAGUUGCAUUCAUGAACCACUGAUAUAUAGUGAAACUGAUAUGAGUUGUAACUUUUGUAGUUCUAUUUCAUUGGUGCCUCAUAUGGAAGUGGUGGUGAUUGGUGGGUCAUAUACUCAUUAAGAACAAAAAUAAUAAUAAAUCAAAUGAAAAAGUUACUUUUUACUUUUUAGAAAAAGCGAUUGCAAAUGACUAAGUAAUGGAGACAUUGAUAGGUCUAUCAAUAUAUUUAUAUAUAUUAGGUGAGGCAAUUGGAUUAGAAUGAUAAAAUAGCAACUUUUAUCCAAUCAAUUACUUUAUAAAUGUUAAAAGAAGAACGAAGAAAGAGUUGUUUUUCAAAUUAAGCAACAUAAACUCUAUAUUUUGACAACAAAGUUAAAAAGAUAACUUUAUAUUUUUCUUCUUCUUUUAUAAAGAUAUGAUUGAACAUACACCAUUUCAGGAGGUGUCGGUGUCCACUAACAUUAUGCCCAUCCCAUGGUUGCUUUCAUUUCAAAAGGAUCAAAAUUUGGAUAUGAACUCUUACAUUUUGCCUUUUGGUGUUACCUAACUUUUCUUUAAUUAAAAUUAAAGUGUGUUUAGUUUGGAGCAAUUCUAUGUUCGGUGACUUUUUGAAAAUUUUCUUAGAAUGGAUGUGAGUGAAAACAAAACAUGCUGAAAUGACUCUAAUUGGUUCGUGGAACAACUUUCACUCUAAUAAGUCUUUAAGACAAGUAAGAAUGAUAUUGUCAAGUCGCAAGUAAUUAGACGUUACAGAUAUAUAGUUUUAUUUAUAUAUAAACACAUAUCUACAUUAGUGAGGGUCAUACGUUUUACAGAGUGUUUGUAUUUACUCAGUAACACUAAUAUCAUUUUCACACAUUUAAAUUUAUGCACGUUAUAGAUUUUAUUAGGUAUGUAUACAACUUAAUAACACUAGUAAGUAUAAUGUUUUGUUGGUGUAUAUACAUAUAUACAUAAUACGUCUACGUUUUUGCAGAUUAUUGAUUUAGUAACUUUCUUUGGGUGAAUUCAAUUUGUUUUUUUUUGUAACAAAACUAAAUUGUAAAGUCUAGUGUUAGAAAGUAUGGUUUCUCUCCUUCACCCUUUGUUUAAUAAUUUUAAUAAUUUUAAGUUUUAAUAGAUUGUGUUCAUAUUAAGACGAUGGCAUAAGCAGAGUUGGGUGUGGGGCACCGCCGUCACCACCACUACCAAUCUUCAACAAAUCACUUUAACGACGUAUGGGUAAAGGCAGUUAGUAUUAUUGGGUUAAUCAAUUUUAAAUACAUCUUGUACCACUAAAUUCUUUUACUUUAUUAUCUGUUUUUUACCAAACCAAAUCUUUCUUACACUACAAGAGUUUUUUUUCUUUUUCUUUUUUAUCUUUAUAAAAAAAAUACAAACCAUCAUAAUAAGAAAUUAAGAAAGAAGUAAAAGUUAAAAAUCAAAGGUUAAUCAAACGGAUCUUCAAUGUUGAGCUAUUACCAUUUAUAUCCACGAUUUGUUUAAAUAAUAUUUAAAUUCUAAGUCUUCAGUCAUUUUGUGAUUGAGUAAUUUUUAAUAUCAUCCUUCAGAAAAGAAAAGGAUUAGGAUUAGGAUUGUCCUAAUGGGAGUGGGAGUGGGAGUGGGGAGUAGAGAAUUUUGUGAGGAUGAAGAUGGGAUAGGGGGGCGGGGACGGGGAUCGGUAGUGGCAUCCCCGGCCCUCCUCGUCCCGUGGACAUCUCUACUCCUCAUCCCCGUCCCUCACCAUUAAUACCGCGCAUAAGGAGUGAUCCAUUUCCGAUAACGAAAAUCGUGCGUGGGGAAUGGUCCCAACGCUCGACGCGCAAGUGAAACCGUCGUGUGUCGAGUGAUGGAUCUUACAAGGUGGGUGGGAGGGGACGGGGGGGGGGGGGGGGGGGGGGGGGGGAAUAUUUAUAAUUUUAAUUAAGAAGGAUAGAUAUUGAAGAGAGGAAUGAGAAAUUAGAAUGAAAUCAAAACAUUAUAUGGUAGAUGAAACUUAACAUAAAUCAAAGCACAUAGAAACUAAAUAGAAGAGAGAGAGAGAGAGAGAGUUGGAUGAAUUCAUUUGUUGGUGGUGGAGGAUGAGUUGGCGGCGAUGCCGAAGUUGCCUGUGGAGAGAAAUUGGUUUUUGAGUGCGCUCCUCGACGCCGGAUAUUGAGAAGAAUAGGAAUAACCCGGAUAUGGAGUAGUACAUGGUUUCGAUUUCCGUUCGGCGCCGGACUUCAUUUUUUCUCCGUCUUUGUCUUUUGAUUUUUGCUUAUCGCUUCUCUCACUCAUCUUUUCCCCUUUCAUAAUAUUAUCUUCCACCUUCCAAAUAAUAAUAAUUGAGCUUGAGCCACCCACGCAUUUAUAACCUUAAUUUUACACGUGUCUUUUUCUUUUUACUCUUUUAAAUUUUCCAUAAAAUUACAUAUUCUAUAUACAGCUUACCUUCAUAAACCCUAUCUACUGUUGAAUCACUUUAUCUUUACUAUUUAGGAUAAUUUUCUAUAAUCAUAAAGGCAGAUGAAAUUUUAAUUUGGUUGCUAUGAUUCCAAAAAAAUAUAAU
rnacentral:lncRNA from 1 species